rnacentral:lncRNA from 1 species
UCAUUUUUUCCAAGAGCAAUGCUCCUAUGCACCGAACAAAUCUCAGCCAUUAAAAUUCUUUAAAUGGACGGUAACGAUAGACCUAUUAAAAGAGGGUGACCGGCACUUGGGGGCAUAGGUAUCGAUCACCACUUUAAUAAGGGCAAAAAUUUUUUUUAUUACAUGGAGUUUGCAAUGAGAGUAUUUUAGUAAAUUUCCAUCCUCAUAACAUGCCAUUUUGUAAAUUUAGAAUAUUCCACCUUCCUUCUUUUUAUCCUUCAAUAUUUUAUCUUUGUAUUAUUAUCUUUCCUAAAUUAAACCUCAUGUCUUUAAACCAUAGUUAGUUAAUUCGAAUACGAUAAAAAUUCGAUACGGAUAAAAUACGAAUAAAAUUCGUAUCUUAAUUUUUAAGUUCGUUGAAAUAUACGGUUUAAAAAGUAGAUUUGCCAAUAAUUCGUAUACGUGAUUUAUACGAAAAUUUUACGUUUAUCAUUUAAAAAUUCGAAAUAAAAAUUCGUUUCUUUAAUUAAAUUUCUUUUAGAUUUAUGCUAUAAUCAUGCAUAAAUAAUUAUAAUUCUUAUAAAAUAUAAAAAUAAAAUUGGAUAUAUAUAUAUAUACACGCACACACAACACACACACGAAAAGGGUGAGUGGAGCGAGAGGUCCACCAUGGACCUCUCACUCCACACAGUCCACGAGGCUGAGUGCAGCCUCGUGGACCGCGAUAUUUUUCUACACGUAGGCCGCGAUUUCUUCUUCCUCGCCGCUUCUCUUUUCUUUUUUUGCUUUAGAAUCAUUUAGUUUAAAUAGUUAACAAAUUUUAUUUUUUUAACUAUAAUAUAAACUAAAUCUAAAUUUAAAUUUAAAUUUUAAUCAAUAUUUGUAAACUUUAAUGUUGUUUUUACUAUCGAAUGAACAAUUUGAAUUUAAUUUUAAAAAUAAAAGCCUUUAAUUUAAAUAAAAAAUAAAAGUUAUGUUUAUAAAUACUACAUAAUUUAUAAUUUAAAUUAAAUUAAUAUAUUUGAAAUAUCGUGUCAUUUUAAUAUAUCAAAUUAACAAUUUGAAUUGAAAUAUACUAUUCAUUUAAACAUAAUUUUUUUCAUUCUGAAAAUAAAAAUAAAAAUUAAAUUUGAAUUUAAUGUACACAAUUAUAAAGUUUAAGCUCAAAUUGAAUUUAAAAUUCAAUUUAUAAAGGUUUACUACUUAUCAAAUUAGCACUAUCUAAUUUGGUAAGUAACAAAAUUAAACAAGGAAACAAAUAUUUGUAUAAGAUUAAUCAAAUUCGGUAAUUAGUUUUUUUUUUUUUCCAUAUUAUCCUUACGAAUGGUAACCUGUUGAACAGGUAACCACUAUGCAAAAGUCAAUCUUGCCCUUAAAAUAUAAACGGUUAGAUUUAUUUUACCUGGUGUAUUGAAGCAUUCCUCUUUUUCCAAUUCUAACACUACCAUACUAGUCAUUUUAUUCUAAUUUUAUUCUAAUUAUUUAAUAUUUAAUAAGAGCAUGGAAAAAGUAUCUAAUUAGUGCACAGAAACGUACGCACUUAUUUCCUCGUUUUCUUGACUUAAUUAUUUACCCUGUCUAAAUCACUUGUCAAUUUUGCUUAAUUACGUGCAUGACUAAAGCUUCCCAAAAUACUAUUAUAUANUGAGUUUAAAAAGAUCGAAUCAAUAAUAACAUGAUAAGUGUAAGUUGAAAAAACGCCGAAACAUACAACUGCUUUUUACCCUAAACCCUAAACCCUAAACCCUAAAGCUAUGUAAUAAUAAAAGGGAAAAUUUCAAAAAUCCCUCACGUGGAUUUGUACUUUUUUAUUUUAGUACAUGCGAUUUAAAGUGUAUCAAGUUAGUACCAUGUGGUUUCCUAUUUUCUCACUUUAGUAUCCUGUGGUCUAAAAUGUAUCAAAUUUGUAAUCUGUGAUUUUAUUUUUAUAUCAAGUUAGUACCAUGUGGUUUUAUUUUUGUAUCAAAUUAGUAUCAUGUGGUUUAUUUUUCCCUUAAUAAAAUAUUAAAUCACAGAGUACUAAAGUGAGAAAGUACGAAACCACAGGAUACCACUUGAUACACUUUAAACCACAGGGUACUAAAGUGAGAAAGUGCGAAACCACAUGGUACUAAAGUGAGAAAGAGUGAAAUCACAAUAGAGAAAAAAUAUUUGAAGUUUUUUCAUAAUAAAAUAAUAGUAAGAAAGGAUAUUCAAUCUCAAAUCCGUUAUAUAUAAAACAAUCUUUUUAACUCAAAAACUUAUAACCUUCUUUUUAAAAAUUAAUAUUUUAGUAUCUAAUAUUUUAUAUUCAAAUGGAUUUUGGGAAAUGGAAUGUGUACCUGAACUAAUUAAUUAAAAAGUCGCCGCCAGGGUGUUUAGCUGCGUUCAGUUGUACAUUCAACCGUGUAAUUCCCGGCAUCUACGUGCAUGAGAUUUUUCUCUGCACAAAAAUCGAAUAAGUAAAUAAGCAAAAAAAAAAAAAAGAAAAAAAAAGAAAAAAAAAACCUUUGUAUAAAAGAUCAUUAAACGAUUUAAAAGAAAUAAAAGCCCAAAAUGUAAUCUCCAUAUAAAAAAAUGUUUUCAAUGUCAUCUAACUCCUCUGGUAGAGUUCAACAGAUGUGGUGUAUAAAAUAUACUAAAUUAAUACAACAGUCCAAGCGCAAUAAUCUCUCUUUUUCAAUAUUUAUCAUCAUUUGUAGCUAGUAAUAUGUCAAAUCCCAAAUAUCAUUUCAAUGGUGGAUGAUCAAGCCAUGUGUGCAUGAUUGGUGUGUAGUAAGUAGGAAAUCAUAUCAUAAUAAAUGAUAGCUAAUAGACUCAUUAAUGCAUGCAUGAUUGAUGUGUCGUAACAGGAAACCUGCUGGAAUAAUAAUUCAAAUUUAAUUAAACUAUAAUUAGAGAUAAUGUUAUUUUUUUUUUUAUUAUGAUAAGGAUAUGUAAUUAUCCAAAGUAAAAUUGAAUUUAUCAUCUGUUAUGAUUUGAUGGUUACAUAUAAUUAGGCAUGGAUUAAUUAGAGGAAUAAGUCUAUUAUUAAUUAGAGGAAUAAGUCAUAAUAGAUAUGAUUGAAUGGGUGUUGCCCACAAUAUAAUUAAUUGUUUUUUAUUAGUAAGGGAUAAUUGCCUAUAUACUCCUCAUAUGUUUGAAAAUAUUCGAUUUAUUCCUUUUUUUAUCUCUAAAAUAUCCCUCAUAUAUUCCACCCUUAUUGCAAAAUACCUCCGCAGUUAUCUCCUGUUAGGUUAACUUGGAUUAAACGUGAGUUAAAUAUCUACCACAGUUAAAAAAAUUAAAAUAUCAAUUUUGCCCUUAACUUAAGGGCAAAUAAGAAAUGUUGGUGACGGUAUAGGGGUAUAUUGGAAAAGACCAAAAAAUAAAAUACUUUUUGUGCACUUGACUUUAAGGGCAAAUAAGAAAGUUAGUGAUGGUGGAAGGGUAUAUUUGAAAAGGCAAAAUAGUAAUUUUACAAAGAUACCAGAGUUAAUUAACAGAUUUUAACUCUAGGGGUAUAUUAGAAAUAGGUUGGAACGUAGAAAGUGUAUUUUCAAUAUUAGCCUUCUAAGAGUGGUAAAUCGGAAACUCGAAAACUUUUUAGAGGUAUAUAAGCAAUUGCUCCUAUUAAUAAAGUAUUAGUUUUAAUUAUCUUCCUCCUUCAAUAUUUCUUCUCCAUAUUAUUUUAUUCUAUUUUUUCUUCUCCAUAUUAUUUUGUUCUAUUUUAAAUUUCGGGUUAUAUAGUCAGUAUCAGCAAAAAUACUAGUUCCAACAAGUGGUAUAAGAACAAAUCACGCUUCCAACAAAACCAUAUCAUUAUAGUGUCACAAGCAUCAUUUUACAACCUAGUGGAAUUAUAAGAGAAUGAUGGUGAUAUUAAUAAUUAAUAAUUAGGUAAAAAAGUGCGGUACUAAUCUAAACUAUAAAUUAUUUUAAAUCAACUAUUUUAAUUAUUAAAAAAAUUAAAUUUACUGUUAUAUCUUUCAAUUUUUUGAUUCGAGUCAAUUAUCAGUAAAUUGACUUUAAAUUUUCAGCUAGUUACCAAAAUUGGAUGAAAUAUUUAUUAAUUAAGUCUGUAAAGUUAAAUGGCACAUUAACAUUUAAACUCAAAAUAUCGUUGACUGACUCAAAUCGAACAAAUUGAAAUUUUGAAAGAUAGAAUAGCGAAUUCAAAAUGGUCCACAGUUCAGAUAAGAAUGUAACGAGACCCCCUCACAUAUUGGAACUUUUGAAAUAGCGAAUUCAACUUUUAAUUUUUUUAGAAUUAAGUAAUUUCAGUUAAAAAAAAGUUAAGAUUCUGCCAAAUUUAUUAGUGGUCUCACCAAAUUCAAUAACUUAAUAGUUUUUUGAUAGUUUUUACGCAAAUAAAACUAGACCAGUUAAUGAUUAACCGACAGAGCCAUUAAAUUUGAUAAAAGUUUUAAUGUUUCUGAGUAUAAAAAAUUAAAAAAUUAUAAGUUAAAGAGGUCUCACUAAAAAAUAAAAGUUGGCGGAUCUAUUUCAAAAUGGCUAUAGUUCAGGGGGUUUCUUACAUUUUCACCUCAGCUUCCAAAAUUUUAAAUAUUUUUAGUUUGACAUUAUUUAUGUGCUGCCAUGCUAUUUAAUUGUCCAUAUUGCUUUCACAAAAUCUAUGUGGUCACAAGCUUUACAUCCCUUAAUUAUAUAUAUGUGGUUACAAAAGCUUUACAUCCCAAUUUUGUUUUAUAUUUUUAAUCUAACCAAAAAUAAAUAAAUAAAUAAAUAAAAAGUUUAAAUAUAUUCAAUAUAAAGAUUUAGAUAUAAGAGGAUACGAUGCCAAAAUAACUAUAUACGCAGAGCACAAAAGUACGAAUAAAACUUCAGUGGGGAUCAGCUUCCACGCAUUAAUUUUUCUUUCUAUUCAAUAGUUCAUUUCGUAUUUUUAAUAUUAAAAUCUAAAAAAAUUAAAAAUUCUGAAGGAAAAGAUUAAUUAUAAUACUUGGAUAGAGAUAAAGGUGGUACGUGUCAGCGAAUUGGGAGCUCCGAUCCCCACUCAAGUUAUUUCUAAGCUGUAGAAAUUCGCAGUCUAUAAAAAGAACAAAUAUUUCUUUCUAAGCUGUAGAAAUUCACAGUCUAUAAAAAGAACAAAUAUUUCUUUCAUAGCAUCUGCUUGGAUGUUUGAAUAAGUUAUCGGAUAAUAACUCGUAUAUUUUAGAUUUUUUUUUAUUUUUUUCUUCUUUUUAGUCAUUACAGCCAAUUUUGCUUUCUAGUCAAUUUGUAUGGUCCCAUUUAUUAAAUGAUAUAAAGUAUACAUUUAUUCAAUGAUAAAGAUUUAAAUAUUAGAGGAUGAUAGCAAAAUAACUAUGCAGAGCACAAAAGUAUAAAUAAAACUUAAGUGGGGACCUGCUGCCGCAUAUUAAUUUUGCUUAUAUAUAUAUAUCCAAUGAUUCAUUGAGUAUUUUUAAUACUAAUGUUCAGAAAAGAGUUUUAAAUCUUAAAGAGAAAAAUAUUAUAAUAUUUGAAUAGAGAAAAAGUGUCACGUGUCAACGAAUUGGCACUCCCCAAUGAGGCAUCAUUGAGGAGGUUGCGCAUAGAGGGUGUAGGAAUUCUUAUUCUAUAAGAAGAACAAAUUAUUUUUUUCAGUGUCUUUUUGGAUGUUUGCAUAAUUAGUUAUUGGAAAAUAGCUUGUAUAUUGUGGAUUUUUAUUUUUUAAUUUCUUUUUCUUCUUUGCAAUCAUUGCAACAAAACUUUGCUUUUUAGUCUAUUUGUAUGGUCCCAACAUAUAUAGGAUCAUCUAUCUUCUUCUAACUACAUUAAAGGAGGGUUUGGGGGGACCACAGGGUGACACGUGUCCCCCCAAACCCCUCUUCUCUCUCCCUCUAUAUAUAUAUAUAUAUAUAUAUAAAGUUUUAAAUUUUUUAUAUCAAAAUAUAAAAUUUUGAUACUUCCAAAUUUUAAAGUUUUAAAUUUCUAAUUUUAUAUUUUUUAUUUAAAUUUUAAAUUUCAAUUUUUACUUAUAAUAUUUAUUUCUAAAUUUUAAGCUUUUUAAACUUCAAAAUUUUAAAGUUUUAAUUUUCUAAUUUUAUAUUUUAUAUUUAAAUUUUAAAUUUUAUUUUUUACUUAUAUUAUUUAUUUCUAAAUUUUAAGCUUCAAAGUUUAAAAUUUUAAAUCUCUAAACUCUAUGAAAUUAAUUAAUUAAUUAAAUUUAUUAAUAAUUAGUUUUAUACAAUAUAAUUAAUUAAUUUUAUUAAAAAUACACAUAAUAAAUCGCAUAAUAAAAUCUAAUUUGAUAGAUGAAAUUUAAAUCACAUAAAAUUUCAUUGUAUAAAAAAAAUACGGAAUUUAAGUUUCAGGAGUAAAAUUUUAAAAAUAUAGUGUAUGUGUGUAUAUAUAAUUAAUUUUAUUAAACAAUAUCUUCUACAAUUUUAUUUUCCUUCUAUUUAUUGAUUUUUUUAAAAUUAUUUUAAUAGAUUUAUCUCAAAUCCUUUUCAUAUAAUUUUUUAUAAAAUAAACUAUUGUAUAAAUUUACUUUGCGCAUAUACCAAUUUUAAUGACUUUUAUUUAAAUAGAUUUAACUAUUAAAUUAUUUUUAUAUAACUUUUAUUUAAUUAAUAAUUAGAUUUAUAAAACUAUAUAAAAAUAUUAAAAAAAACUAAAAUUUAUUAUAAAAAUAUUUUUAUAUCCGCAGCAUCGCGCGGGUAUUUUACUAGUCAUACAUUAAUUUGUAGAAUAACUGGUGAUUAAUUUUUUCUGAGAAAAUAAUUUAAACGGUUGUUCUGUGUCGUUGUAGACAUUAAAUCAUACGCUCCAUUCCUUGAUUUCUGACCUUGCGCGUGAAUUGAUGGGCAAAAUUGAUUUGUCAGUUAAGAUGUACUUGUACACUGACGGGACCUAACCAGCCCAUGAUAGUUAUUUGCUGCAAGGCAAAAAAUAAUUUUACAAAAAUUGCCCCCCAAAAACAGUUUAAUAACAACACGAAGAUUGACGAAUGUUUUCUAAAUAUUUUAAUUAUCUAGAGGGAAAAAUAUAAAAUAUAAAAAAUAAAGAUCUGUAUUUCACCACUACCCCUCUUAAAUAUCUAAAUAUCGUAAAUAUUCCUAUAAAAUUGAAAAUAUCAUAUAUACCCCUUCAAAUGUAGAAAAUUAUCACGAAUACCCUUUUUUCUAACGGACAUUAAGAUUAGGUUAUAAAAUGAUUAAUUUACCCUCGGUUGGGGUGUCUUUUGAUAGCAACUAAUAAAGAAAUUAAAUAAUUUCAUAAAUACCCUUCAAAUUUUAAAAAUAAUAUUUUUAGUACUAAUUAUUGGUAGAUAAAAUAUGUGGAAACAUCAUCUAACCGCACAUCUCUUAAUCCAAUGGACACAAAUCUACAACCACUUGAUACUUUUANAGAUCAUGCUGAAGUGGACUAAUAGGUGAGAGGGUCUUCAUACAAUGUUACUUUUUUUGUUGACAAUAAAUGUUCAAUUAGAAAACUGUUGCUUGAGCAGAUCAUAUGAAAAAUACUCUAAUAUCAAGAAUUUUGAUAUCAAAAUAUUUUUAAUUUGACUUAUGUGAGUUAUUUAAAUAAAAUUCAAAAAAACAUCUUGAAAUAAUUAAUGUUAAAUACUACAAUGGAUAAUUGCAUUACAACUAUUAUAUAAUUUAAAAGCGAAAAUCAUAACAAUAUUUAAUUAUUACACUUAAUAGACUAUAGAUAUUUAAUUGUAAAAUUUUAAAAAGAAUGUUGAAUUAUUAUGUGAUUGAAAGGUUAAGAAUUGAUCUUGAUCAUGUAAUUAAUCUUAAAUUAUUACACUUAGUUAAAUUAGUAAUUAAUAAGGGUAAAAUGGGUAUUUAUAGAAUAUUAGAUGACUUUUUAACGGAAUGUUAAUCUUAAGGGUAUUUGUGAAUAUUUGUGUUUUAUAGAGGGGUAUUGCUGAUAUUUUGUAAUUUAUAGGGGCAUUUAUGAAAUUUCUAUCUUUUAGAAGGGUAUUGAUGAAAUUAUCCCUAUAUAUAUAUAUAUAUAUAUAUAUAUAUAUAUAUAUAUAAAAGAACUAGAGGAACAAACUAGUCCUCUCAACUGAGAAAGUUGAAAAUUACCAUCCCAUUCCUCUUGGAAUUCACGUUCAUUCGGUCUUAAUUGAUUCUUGGCCUUUUCUCAUUUCUUUUCAUUAUUUUCCUUUAUUUUUUUGCUUUUUUUUUAUUUUUGCUUGUUUCUUUCGCUAAAAGCAAUGAACCUAUUCGAGACUAACCGUGUGAAACGCAGAAGCCAAACUGAACUAAGGUUUCAUUUCGGAUUGUGAAAAAAUUAUACUAUGUGCCUUAAAAAAGUAUGAUAGAAAAAUAUUUUAUUUGUUUAUGUAAUAUUAUAUUCUGCAUAUCGCGAUGAUUUAGUUAUGAUGUAUUUACUCCGGUUCCAUCGGAGAACGUAAAAGCAUAUCUCUAUAUGCUUUUAUCCCAAUUUCAUUUUAUCUAAUAGCGUCAUAUAGAUCUUAAUACUAAACUAAGCCUAAGGUUUCAUUUGGGAUUACGGAGAAAAAAAAAAGUACGAUGAGAAAAAUCAUGUUUGUUUUCAUAUGUAAUCCACAUAUUGCGAUGAGUCGGUAAUCCCGUUUGUUUCCAUAUGUAAUCAGCAUAUCGCAAUGAGUCGGUUAUAAUAUAUUUUCUGCGGUCUUACCGAAAAACGCAAAAGCAUAUAUAUAUCUAUAUGUUUUUAUCCUAACUUUAUUUUAUUUAAUAGCAUCAAAUUAGCCUCAAUACCAAACUAAGUCUAAAAGCUCUGGAGAGAGAAAAUAAAAAAAAAAAACAAACAUACGGUAAAGUUGAAAAGACUAAAAUUACAUUUAGAUACAUGAAUAUUUUGUUCAAACAUUUUUUUUUUUAAAUUCAGGUUUUACUUAUAUUUCUUUUAUUUACUAAAAAAAUAUGCUAUAUUUGAAAGUUAAAGAAUAUAAUCAAAUGUCUAAAAUAAAUACUAUAUUCGACCUUCAAAUCAUCUCGAAUGUGAUUAUCGAACAUCUUAUUUCUACGUGUGAACACGCCUACAUUUCAAUUUGAAUGUGGUUUUUAAAUACCCACCCAUGAUUCUCACGGAAGUAGUGGCGACAAUAGUAACAUGAUGCGGCAUUGCUUUCGUAGCGUAUGUUAUUUCGAUUCUUAUUAUUUAUUAGGAUGUGUUCCCACAUGACAUAAGACCCUUUUAAUUAUGGGCAUGGCGACAAGAAGAGCAUUGCAUGUCCUGAUAAGGGCCGGGUUGGAUUUGAGCCGAACUCUGAUCCAAGAUUUGAUCCAAAUACGACGCGGUUUCAAUCAAACGGACCCACCAAAACUGGGGUUGCGAUCUGUAUAGCAUGCUAUCAUAUUCUGUCUGCAAUCCCUAAGUUACACCGUUCGGGCUAAAUUAAGUUAAAAAUUUUAUUAAAUUGAGUAGCUCUAUUUAGUUAUUAGUUGAUAGUUGUUAAUAAAACGAAGUAGGAGAUUUCUAUAUAUACAUAUUUACCAUGAAUUUGACUUGCAACAUUUGAGUUCAUAACACUAGACAUGCUACACAUGGGUUGAGAGCCAAGAACCUAACAAACUACUAAACCACAUGUUGAAAUUUCUUUAUCUUGUGGAUCUUGUGUCCUUCAUUUACUAGAUAUUGUAUUUUGUAUGACUAUAUAUUACACAUGAAGCUAAAACUAAGCUAUCACAUUUCCUUCUCAACCUCAUGAAUCUUAACCUUACUCUCGAAUUCGUUAACCCUAAUUCCACCCUCUAAACGAAAAAAAAGAAAUGGGCAAUGUAAACCCAAGAGACAACCCUUUUCCGGAUAACGGCCACGAAUGAUAGAUGGCAAAAUAAUCACGCGAUAGCGAUCAGAAUGCCGACUGGAAUAGAAAAGUAAAACGAACAGAAACCUGUGUUUAUGAAUGAUUCAUACCGUUCAAAAGAGGAGGAAUAAGUUUGGAGGGAAGCGGAUAUAAUAUUUUUCUUUAUUUUUGUUUGAUAUGAGCUUUGGAACAAUUAGGUUGUGAUUGGGCUGUAGCAAAAUGGUGAUGGAUUCCGGCAAGAAGUUGUGGGCUUGAUUAGUCUCCAUCUUUGACUGGCUGCAGUUGCUGUUUCAUCAGAGAUCAAUGAUGGAGGUGUGCACUUUGAUCUUUCUAGAGGGGCUGUUUUUGUCCAACCAUUAGAUGAGGGAAAGAGUGGCCAUCUUGCAGAAAGGACGAGCUUUGGAUACCACCAUUUAUGAGCGCAUGCACCUCUUCUUUCGCCGAUAUCCAGCUCUGCUGUUGAGUCAAUUGCACGUGUACGUUAACAAUCUGGUACAACAAAGAUCAAUAAAAAGAUAAUUUAGUGUAGUUGAAAACACAAAGGUGGUGUUUGAUUGUGAUAUAAGGGGGAAAUAAGACCUUAAUUAUUCCCUCCCUUUGUAUCCAAACAGAAAAAAACAGAAAAAAAAAAAAAAAAGUGAGAACAACAGUUCCCAACUCGGUUAUUCCUAAGAUAAUCCGUUAAAAGGUGGAAACUAUUAUUCCUACCCUUAAGAUAAUUCGUCAAGAGGUGGAAACUGUUGUUUCCCCCCUUAGAUGGGGCAAGCUUAUUCUUGGCAUAAGCUUGAGAGAACAGUUCCCACCACUUAAUGGGUUACCUAUUAUCCAUUAAGUAGUGGGAACUGUUGUUCCCACCCUUAAGUGCAACUGUUGUUCUCAUGUUCCUGAAAUAAGCUUGAGAGAGAGAGAGGAAAAGAUUUUAAAUUUAUUGCAAACUUUAUAAUUUGUAAUUUUAAAAUUAAAAUUUAUACUUUUUUAAUUUUUAAUUUUUAAUUUUUAAUUUUUUUUCAAAUUUAAAAUUUUAUAUUUUAUAUUUUUUAAAUUUAAAUUUGAUCUUAAAUUUAAAAUUUUGAGAUUUUAAAUUUUAUAUUUUACAUUUAAAAUUUGAAAUUUAAAAAUUUAAAUAUGAAAAAUUAAAAAUUCAAAUUCAAAUUUAAUAAGAGAAGUAAUAUCACCAUUUUUUAUUUAUAACUACUCACUAUUCUUUUUAUUUCAUCUUAUCUAUACAAACACUAUUUUUUUUUAAUUCUGUAAACAAUCCAAUUCUCAUUCAAAUAGAAAAUUUGUCUACUUCUUAUUUAUACCUAAACUUGUAUUUAUUUUCGAAAUAAGCAGUUCUUACUUAUACCUGAAACAAAUAAAAAAAAAAUUAAGAGAGAAAAGAAAAGUACAUUAGCAUUUAUUUAUUUAUUUAUAAAUAUACUAAUUGGCAACCUUUUAGAGCCCUCCCCUUAUUUUGGGGGGUGUGGGGCCCACCACAUACAAAUUUUUUAAAAUUAAUUGCACAUUGGUCCCUAAGCUUUCUGCUAAUUUUAUUUUGGUCCCUAAAUAUACUAAUUUGGCAACCUUUUAGAGCACUCUCCUUAUACUUUUUUUUGGGGGUGGGGGGCGGACGUGGGGCCCACCACAUACAAUUUUUUUAAAAUUAAUUGCACAUUGGUCCCUAAGCUUUCCGCUAAUUUUAUUUUGGUCACUAAUUUUUUUUUACAAUCAAAUUUUUAAAUCUCUUGAUUUAAUCUUUAUUAUUAUAAUAUAAAGAUCAAUUGUGAAUCGUAAAGAAGGACUCUCCUUAUUUUGGGAGUUAUGGGGCCCACAGCAAUUGUUUUAAGAAUUAAUUGUACAUUGGUCUCAAGUUUUCACUAUUUUUUUUGUCCUUAAUCUUUCUUUUGCAAUCAAGUUUUUAAAUCUCUUGAUUUCAUCGCAAUAAAAAUGAACCUAAAAUUAAUUGCACAUUGGUCCUAAGCUUUCAGCUAUUUUUAUUUUGGUCCCUUAUCUUUUUUUUUACAAUCAAAUUUUCAAAUCUCUAGAUUUAAUCUUUAUUAUUAUUAUAUAAAGAUGAAUUGUGAACCUUAAAAAAAGGCUUCUUCUUAUUUUUGAGGGUUGUGGGGCCCACAGCAAUUUUUUUAAAAAUUAAUCGCACAUUGGUCCCAAGUUUUUCACUACUUUUUUUGGUCCUUAAUCUUUCUUUUGCAAUCAAAUUUUUAAAUCUCUUAAUUUCAUCGCAAUAAAGAGGUUUUAGAUUUUAACGAUAUUAUCAUGCCAUCGCCUAUUUAGAUUUUUUUUGCGUGUCAAUUUUGAUCUCUAAACUUUAUUUUUCACUUUAGUCCCCAAAAUAAAAUUUCAAAAUUUUGAAUUUAAAUCAGAAAUUUAUUUUAAAAUUAAUUUGAAAAUUUAUGAGUAGAAAAUGAUCCAUACUUAUAAAAAUACAGUACCUGAAUUACAUAUUGUAAUAAUAUGUUUCCGCCCCAUCACGUGGACCCUUAACUAGUCUUACGUUUGUUUCGACAGGCCAAAAUAUUGGCCAGAUUGAAAGUGGAGAGCAAAAAACAAAAUAUAGGCAUCUCGAAGAAAAAACGAAUCUUUGUUUAGAGGGUGCCUACUGAAGUCAUUUGCAGCGAUCUCAAUUCGAUUUGCUAACAGUAUCAUUUUGUCUUCUCCAUGUUAAAACAAUUCCUAGACAGUUUCUCAACAAUUUGGUCUUUUGGAUAAUAUGUUUAAACUAUUCCUAACUAAGCUGAUUCCUUUUAAAUUACUCUUUUAAGUAGUAAGAUAUCAAAGCCAGUUCUAAUACCCUUCCAUUCCAAGUCGUUUUAAGUUCAAUUCCUACAUCCGCCAUAUAACUGUGUGAUUUUUGUCUCUCUAGUCAGUGCACGUGACAUAGUCCAUUUGAUUAUGUAGUCAUCACUAUACAAUAUUGAGAGAAAGUGCACGUGACAUACAAUAUUAUGUAGUCAUCACCUGUUUUCGGUUAAAUCCCAUUACCAGUUCAUCACAGAUGGGGGAUGUAGAGAUCGGUGAAAUCAACAUAUCUGGACCUUGAAGAUUCCAACCAAAAUUAAGAUCUUCAUCUGGACGUUGCUUCGAAAGAGACUUCUCACUUCUGACAGGCUGCUCACCAGAGGCAUGUCCGUAGAUCCGCUUUGUGUGCUAUGCGGGGUUCUCCCAGAAAGCUGUGAUCAUCUUUUCGCUAACUGCAUCUUUGUUCGCUUCCUUCUACUCUCUACAGCGGACCUCGAUGCAUUUCUUGAUACCACAGGAGCAGUGUGCAAUCUUUGGGCAAAAGUAUCAGAAACUCCAAACGACGUGUUGAAACUUAAAGGCUUAACUCAUCUGGCGGCAACCUGGUGGGUCGUCUGGUCAGAUAGAAACUCGGUCAUCUUUCGGGACGCACCCCCAAACGCAGUCCACUCGGCGGGACGUAUCAACAGUUUGAUUCGAGACUAGAGUAUACUGACCUGACCUAACUCUUGUACUAGCUUACUUUGUUUCUUUUCUCCUUUUUUCUUUAUCUCUGUUUUCUCCUUUUGCCGUUUUCGGAGGCCAUCGUUGCUUCCACCUUGUACGCUUAAUUCAUCCCACUUUAUGAAUGAAGCAGGUAGCUUGCUACCUUUUUCUCAAAAAAAAAAUAUUGAGAGAAAGUCACAGGGAGUGUCGUGCUAAGAAUAUAGGGUUCUUCUGUUUUUGGAGAUCCAGGUUUCUAAACGAAACACAAAAAUACAUCUGAUAAGAAACAAUAUAAUAUAGGUCUGAACAAACAUUCCAAAAACUCUCAUAGCAUUUCUAUUUCUCCAGCUAAACAAGUUGUUGUAUUACAUACUUCCAAUCAGGUAAGUUGAAUACUACUACUACAAUAUAUGUAUCCCUCCUAAAUAUGGUUUUGAAUCCAAACAUGAUACUUUGGAACGUUGGCAUAUGGUUUCUCUGUUUCAGUUUGUCAUCCCUUUUUUUUUCCUCCUCUUUUUUUUUGUCAGCUAAGUAGUUCAAAAUUUCGUCUAAUAAUUGAAGUAUUUCAACUAUUCAAGUUCCAGGCACUGAAUCAGAUCCAAAAUUUCCUCUCAAUCCUUCACGGUCAAAUCGCUUUACAAUGUUGUUGUAGAUGGAGGCGUAAGAGAUCCUAACACCCACAAAUUUGGAAGUCGAAAAUUCCAGAGAACUGAAAGAUCAAUGUAUGGUUAGUCCUAAGGAAAAAGAGGUCCUCACAUUCCACAACUUACAAAAGAGGGGAUGGGUGGGACAACAAUGGUGCGUCUUAUGCGGAGAUAAAGCUGAGACUACCAGCCAUUUGUUCUCAGGAUGCGUCUACACUGGACCCCCUUCUACUUAGCUUGAGCUUCUAAUCCGUUCCGAACCGGUUUCAGUAUGUGUCUUAUGGGAGUCCCUUCUACAUAGAAAUCAGAUUAAUGCAUCAAUUAUUUGCCUCCUGAUGGAUAAUUUGGCUUGAAAGGAACAAUACUACUUUCCUGCAUCAGAAGAGAACCUUAAACCAGCAUACUAUCUUUUCGCUCUCUUCUGUUUCUUUUGCUUUCUUUCCUUCUCCCAGAUGUUGUUGCCUCAUUCUCUCGAAGAUUAGUUCAUUUUUCUUAAUGAAUACAGUGGCAGCAUACUAUCUUUUCUUCCUAAAAAGAAAUAUUUCCACCCUACUCUCCUAUUCUUGGAAUACUGUUUUGGCUAGUUUGGUAAUCUUCUGCUCUAGAAGAGAAAAGUAACAGAAAUAAUGGUACCAUUAGAAAUUAAUCAUUUUUUCCUGUGUCCAAAUCGAAAUCAUUUUCACUAUUACCAUGAUCAGUACAUUUGACAAUAUCAUGCAUCCAGAAUCAAUUCAGGUGAAAAUGACUAUUAGCUAGAUGCAAAUAAUGCAACUUAAAACCUCCUGUCUUUGAGAGGGCACACAAUAGCUACUAUGAUGAUAGAUUGUCAUAACAUGGAAAUGAUAGCAACUUAAACUUUGUAUCUAGAGUCACCAACUAGUUGCAGUAAUUGCAUAGUAAUAAUAAUAGUAACCUGGGUUUUAUAUUCUUCCACUCCCAUCUGUCACUACAGAAAUUACCCUCAUGCUAGUGUUAAAUAUAUUUAUGAACUCAAUUACUAUCAGAUCGGUAUUUUGGAUAAUACAGUAUCAAAGCUAAUUCUAACAUCUUCGUCCUUGUAGUCGUGGUUUUGAUUCCCACCUUCAAUAUUGACAGGGUUAAGAUGCUACAUUAAUUUCGUAUGCCUUUCAUCAUGCAUAUAAGUGGGAGGUGCUAGAUAAAUUCUACAGACCAUUUUCUAUCGUAUCGAUCUUUUUGUGCAACGACUGGUAUUUAAGAAGAGGAACAAAUAUGAAACCCAAUAUAUACUGAAUCAUAAGAUGUUUUUCUAGGCUCUGGUAAUUGCACCACUUUCUCUCUCACUGUGCUUCCAAUCUUGAUAGAAAAGAAGUGCUAUAAUAGCAAUACUAAUCUCUAAAUUUUAGAAUUUGUUUGGUUAAUCUAUUUUAGACUAAGAAUCAGCAUGAGAUUUACCGAUAGUUGUUGUUUGUUUUAUAAGAAUCGGAUUUAUAUUCUCAUUCCAUUCUGGAAUGAAAAUAAUCCAACCUAGUUAUGGCUUAAUCUACUUUGAGUCCCAGAUUCGCCCAUUCCAAAUAAACCAUUCAAAACUUUCCCUUACUAACACCUCUCUCUCUUCUCUCCCUUUAUCAUUCUCCCCUCUUUUAACCAAAGCGCUCUCUCAAAAUCCCAAAAUUUCAUUCUGAUUUUCAUUCCAAUAAUACACCAAACAUUUUUUAAUAAUUCGUCAUUCUAUUUUUCAUUUCAAUAGAAUUUAAUUUCACUUUGCAUUUCUACUCUAAUCAUGAACCAAACAUGCCCUUAAUGUGAUACUGAAAAAACACUAAUUCCAAAUUCUUCUACUCGGAAAUUUUGAUUUUGUUAAAAAAAAAUCCCUUUUUUUUUUUUCUCUUUUUGACAGUUCAUACAACCCGUCAGUCUAUGAUUCAAUUUCUUUCAUCGCAUUUAAUUGUCCUUUUCUAUUUGACUAUAUAAAAGAUUCUUGAGGCAACUAGGUUUUUUGAUGGCUGUGGCUCCCUUAAUUCCAAAUCUCCGAAAUAAUUGUGCAUUAUUCCCACACUAAACUCCUAUAGGAAGAGCCAGACCUAUUAUAGUCAUUUGACCAGUUCAACUAUGGCUGAUGUGAACUUUAUUAUAUUUAGAACUGACUUCACAUAAUCGACUUCCUUAAAAACCUCUCAUGAAUCUGUAACCAAGAGGUAAGAAUCAUGUCCUCCAACCAUCCUAUUCUCCUUGUCUAUUUACUGCUUUGGACUUGUGUUUAUAAAUUUUCCCCUUGGCACAAGAAAAAGCUAGCAGUGAUGGCGACAACUUAUCCAUUCAUCAACAGAAUAAAAGACAGCAAGAUCAAACACAAAACAUAGGCAUGUUCAGGGAUCCAAUCUCAAACACUAAUAAGUAUCUGUCCAAGAAUAGCAGGGUAUGUUGGUCAUCGUAAACUAAGUGAAAGUUAAAUCAAAAAAUGAAAGAUAGCAAUGUAAGUUCAAGCAGUAAAUCUUCACUGGGAGGGUGCCUAAAUGUUGUUUAAGUACGAAUCACUGAUGAAGAUACUAGUGAUCUAACUUUGCUUCGAUAAAUGCCACCGCUGCAAACGACACAUUUGCGCUAGUGUUUUGUAGAGUGAGUUUAUGAUGGGAGCAGUAACCUAGGGAAUUUCCAUUCUCAUCUGAUCUUAAAGAAAUUGCAUUCAUCACUAAAAUGAAAAGAGUAAAAAUUCACAUUUUCAGACAAAGUGGCUACUAAUGGUACUCUUAAUCUAUUAUUUAAUCAGAAAAGAGAAUAAAUAUAGUGGUAAACAUCCAUAUCACCUUUUUUUUGUCCCCUUUUUGUUGGAUAUGUCCCUAUCAUCAAAACAGUAGAAGAAAAUGUUAGGAAUCAAUGGAAUUUGCACUUAGAACAGAGCAGACUAAAUAUCCUUGUGGGCUACCCUAGCUCUAGUGACCAAAUACCCUUCGAAAUAAUAAUCCUCAAUACCCUCCAGCAAGACAUAACGGGGAUAGCACCUUAAACAAGACAUUAUAAAAAGAAAAAAAAAUUGCAUUCCUUUACUUGUCUUCUUAGAAUAGAAAUACUACAACCCAGCAUUACUUUUCGAGGCUACAUCAACAUCUAAAAGUCAAUCAAAAUCCUCAAUCAAACAAGCUAAAAACUCUUACAACAGAUUGCCGCGCCAUGGCACAGCGGUAUGCUGUUCCUGUACCUGCAUAAUACAUGUGACAGUAUGUACUAUGCUGAUAUGCGACAAAGCCCAGUAUGUCACUAGGACGCUCCCAUGCUGAGACAAUUCAUUCGAAUGCGUAGAAAUGAAUGAUUCUUCUAAUAGGUAAAUCUAAACAAAUUCAUCUCAUGUUUGUUACUAAUUCCAAUAAAACUCAUAGCACAGUUUUCGGUUCAGCAGAACCGAAGGUUUCAGAUUAGGAAAAUCAACAUUGUCCGUAGUUAACUCUCAAUUUCAUCCAAUUGAAUCAUUCAACUACAUAAAUAGUAAAUUGGAAGUAUCCAGAGAGAAAUUUCAAGCAUUUUUACUGAAAAAAAAACGGUGAGCAAACAGGGUUCGAGGUCCAUACCAUCAUCAUGGGGGGCUUAUUAGUCCGAUACCUUGUCGACAUGGCACAUCCCUCCCCAAGCCAACUAUUAGUAGUAUUAACAAAUCCAUGUAUCAAGGAAUGACUAGCAACAACAAAGUAGAGGAGAUACUCUAAACAAUCUAGGACAUCUAUUAACUUCAAAAUCAAAUUCAGUCUCUGCUAGAUGUUUUGAGCCCUGGUCAUAAGUCAGCAAAUUCAGUCAAAGACUUUCAAGAACAUCCAAGUUUCAAAGAAGACUAGUAGCAUAUUAUACAGCAUAUCAAGCAUAUUAUACAGCAUAUCAAGCAUUUAAUAUCAUCUAGCAGAAAUAUAUUUACUUAAAUAGCAAUUUAGAAGAAAUGAACUACAUGGUACCUGCAAAUUCAGAAAAAAGCAAAUGAAAUGUUCAUUCUUCAACAAGAUCUAACUUUACAAUCAGAAGAAAUAACACGUAUAACAAAAAUUCUUGGAAUUAUAAGCAAAAAGGUGCUGCAGUUGUGCAGAACCAAUCAGGACCUUUAAGUAGUCAGACCAUACAUGAAAGUUAGGAAUUUAGACUUCAUUGAUGCGUCUCAAUAUAUGUGCCUUCUGAUAAACUAUUUCACAUCCAAGGUGGAGAAAGUAAAUAAUGAAAGACAGAUAAUGCAAAUGCUUAAAAGCUUUCACAUAAAUUGCUUAGUUAAGGAUGUUAACUACCAUGUAUUAUUGGCUUAGAACCAUUCACAAAAGGUUGUUGCGUCACUUAAACUUGUACUUCAGGAACAGGAUAAAGCUGCUACACAUUACGUAUAUGCCUUAAAAGACUUUCAAUAAGCAAGAUUCGAGAUGAAUAUUACAAAGUAAGACAACAUAAUAGAUAAAUCAGAGGCGCAUGAGAAAGAGUUCAAGCUCUUGGCUGUAAAUCUGAGCAAGCAUUUGAAAAACCUCAUGAAGUGUAAUUCUUAAUUGCCAAUCGACACAGAAUUUAUAAAAGAGCAAAGCUAGCGAGACUUUCAAGAAGAUCAACUUCUCUAAAGCAAAAGAAAGUUACCAAUACAGUACAUUAAAUUAACUGUGCAUAGAUGAACAUGAUGAUUACACAAUAACUUGAUCUGAAAUAGCAGUAAGAUCAAAUGUAAUUCUUCAUACUAUAUAGAAAGGGUUAACAGACAAAUAGUCAUGGACAUAGAGACCUGAUUUGAAAAAUACUCGAUAGAAAAAGAUAGGGGCUUCAAUAAAAAAAAUAUGGAUUUAAAUGUCAAUUGUUACAACACAAUACUAUUAGUAUCAAUAUCAUGCUACAGGGGAUUCGACAGAUCAACUGACACAUUAAUAAUUCAUAAAUACAACAAUACCACAAUUCUCCACUUCAUUCCUUUCCAAUCUAUAGAUUAAGAGCUAUUACUGCUUACUGGUACUAAUCAUCUGCACACCAGAGGAAAUGCUUCCUGAACAAGAAUAGGCAAAGAUAUUUCAAGAGAUGAUUCAUCUUGAGUUGAGAUCUGCUCACCCUCAUCAUUCUAAGUAACGAGCUUCGGAAUGCAACUCUCCAACAGUAUCAGCUGUCUUCUCCUUUUUGUUUGGCCAUCGGUAUAUCAUGGAUUCAUGCUCCCUCCAUAUCUGCAUCAACUCCCACCACCUAACUUUCUAGAUUUUGAUGGGAGAAAGUCAUUUGUAUUUGAAUUCCUUUUCCUACCAAGAUUGCUGGGUGAAGCAAUGGAUGGAGAGACAGAAGAAAUUGUAUUUGUCCUCCUAAAUCUGCCCAUGUUCCAAAAGGAAAAAGGUUCUUCAGGCUGAUUCAUGCAACUGGGUCUCUCAGUCUGGCGCCGUAUCAUAGGAUAGUGUACCAAAUGAGGGUCCUGCUAGCCACAGAAAUGAAGACAUUACAGCAGGAGAACAUACUAUAGCGUCAUAAGCCAAAACAUCUUCAGAAAUUAGUUCUAUAAUGACACAAUUCAAAUGAAAAGGAACAAGAUAAAGAACAGAAGUAUAAAAUUUCACAACUGACAUAAAGGAUAGUCUAACAAGAAUCAUCAUGAUUAGUGAUAACCAAUGUGAAAUAAUGCUCAUAUACUUAAUGACCACGAUAAAUUUAAUCUGCUUAAGCAAUUAAAAUCAAAGUUCACAUGGUGACCUAGUUAGUAUAUAUUUUUGACAUAGCAGCUGUAUAUUAAUUUUUAAGAGAAAAGAAAGAUGUCAGCUUAUUCAUUAAGGUGAUGACUUCAUAGACCCCUCUGCUAAGCAUGUGACAAGUGCAUCGCAUCAGUGUAAAAAAUACCACCCAAUUAUUUGCAUUCAUCCUGCCUCAAACUGUCUAUCCAACAAUCCAAAAGUAAAUAAUUUUAAACUUAAGAAAAAGCUGCAAGUGAUGGGGAUUGAUGUGGUGUACGCAUGCACAACGCAUUAGUUGGCAGUGAAUGAUGGAAACUUCAUUCAAUUCUAUCUUUUGUUUUAUUUCCUGGAUUUGGAUUUACACGCACAGAUCAAAAUUGAUAAUUACGAUUCAAAUGAGAAUGAGAAAAAAAAAAAAGUAUCGCAGUUUUGUUCUGAAGCAAAAAUAUCCAUGCAAUGGCCAUCUAACAGUGGCCGACAACAAGUAGUCAUCGGGGAAAGAUAAAACAAAUUAGGAGCUAAAAAAGAUGUGCUCUAAUUUGAAAGUCAGUCGAGGUAAUUAAUUUUGCCUAUCUAUUUCUCAUAAUUUUAUGUUUCAGAGACUAGGAGCAGAUUAUUAAUUUAUCAGGCAAGGUUGUUUCAUUAUACCUAAGAAAAUUGAAAUCUGAGAUAAUCAUGAGCAUGAAAGAAAUGGAGAUAAAAAAGAAAUAAGAAUUAAUUACAGUUGCAUCUACUCCGAAAACAGUUUGGAAGCAAUGUCAUCGUUGGCAAAAUAGACAACCUAUAUAAUAUAACAAAGCAACUUGUAGUCUGUCUCAUGAGAAAAGAAGAUAAUAUAAUUUAGAUAUGUAAAGCAUAUCAAUAUUUGUCAACAGCUUUUUAACAUGGCACUGUUGGCUUCAGGAAGCAUUGGCAUAUACACAUCUAAACCAAUCAGUACAAUUGCUUUGAAGGAUAUGGCUUCUAUGUUAUUUCUACGUGCAUCAAAUGUAUCUCAUAAUACUGUUCGGUUCUCUAAAGACAUGCAUGGCAAAGCCAGGUUUUCUUAUAUUUCAUAAAGGACAUUAGAAAUCAAGUUAUUAAUUAAUAUUUCUAGAAUAUUAGCUAAAACUGAGAUUCAAUAAUAAUUUUAUAAAAUCCCAAAAAAAAAGGUGAACCUAUGAAGCACUUAACAUGUCAUUUUCUUUGGUUUGACAAAUGUAGGAAUCCAAAAUGGUAUGUUCACAAUGAUGAUCGGUCAAUCUUUCAACAAUACGGGCAUCAAAUGAGCUUGACACCUUGCCAGAACUCUGCUUGUUAAAGGUCCACUUACAUUCCAAAAGUAAACAUUUCCAGAACUUGCGGUUACAUAAAGCUAACAUUUCUGAAAAACAAUCUUAUUGUAAGAUGUGAUUCAAUUUUCAUUUGUACUAAGCCGGUUUAAGGCCAAUGUCCUAUAGACAAUCCUUACAUUUUUGUAGAGAGGAUGUUUGACUGGACAAGAAAAACAAGUGCUAUUGCAACUAGCAUUCAAGUUGCAAAGUAUAAACACAAAAUAAGAUUUCAGAAGUGAAUGAACUUGAUAUCUCACAAAAUAUACUAAGUCAAUCUACUUUGUCAAAUCGAAAAAUAUAAAGAACAAAUAAAAUUCAUCAAAUAAAGAGGAAGGUAAAGUAACCUUACAUGAAAUGGUUGACUUGAAGCAUUAUUAACACCAUCAGAAUGGUAAGGAGCACCUAAAAGAGAAAUCACAUGGUAAAAAUUUUAAAUUUGACUAUGCACAAGUGAAGCACCACGAGAGUAUAAUUUGACUACCAAAAGGACAUAUAUAUAUAUAUAUAGAGUAGGGCUAGAAUACUUUUACAAGCAUCACCCAAGUGAUACUUGUGUGUUUUUAACCCUUGGAUGGAGAGAUGUGAGGUUGAGAUGAUGGUGAUAGGUGGUGGUAGGUGGAAUAGUGUUUGAUCCAAGGGCUAUCUGUAAUCAAAAAGUAGAUCCAAUGGCUAAAAACGUGAUAGCAACAUGGAGAUGAUACUUGUAAAAGUAUCCUAGAUCAACUCUCUCUCUCUCUCUCUCUCUCUCUCUCUAUAUAUAUAUAUAUAGAGAGAGAAAGAGAGAGAGAGAGAGAGAGUCCGGCUAUAAUGCUAUCGAUAGCACCAAGCACUUGGUGCUACCAAGUUUUUCUGCCGUUAGAUCUACCCCUCUGAUCAUUUCUACCCAUUAGAUCAUACUAUUCAACAAAUAUUUUUCACCCUAAGGGACCACUAUCAUCCUAACCGCACAUCGCUUUAUCCAAAGGUUGAAAACUUAAUAGCACCAAUAACUUGGUGCUAUUAAUAGUAUUCUAGCCUAAUUCUAUAUAUAUAUAUAUAUAUGACUGCAAAAUUUGAAACAUGUAUUUGUCCCUGUAAAGUUGACAUCAGCAUUUUUAUCAUUCCAAUCUUAACCCUCCUUUCAAGUAAGCAUUAGCUGGAAGGAGGUUGAAAGUAAACGAUGCAGACUUGAUAGAGCAAGGUAUUUUAAGGAAGCUUGGAGAAAAAAAAAGGGACAAAAUCAAGAGGAGGUCAUGCAUUCAAUUAAAGGGUGAAUGGAAGUUUUCUUUUGGGCCAUGAUCAUCCAAUUCCUUCUCUCGCUCUCUUUUUUCUCUUCUCCUUAAUUUCUCCAGUUCCAAGUCAUCUUAUCACCAAGAUCUAGAUCAUAGGCGGGACAGAUGAAAGGUGGUAUCGUCAUUUUAAGUAGCAAAAUGUCUUUUUUAACCACAAUUUAAAGCCUUUCAAACAGGAGGGAUAAAUUUUUAUCUAUUUUUUAAAUCAGAAGGAUAAUAUGCUAAUAUCAACUUUCGAGCUAUAAAUAUGCAAAAAAUGUGAAUUUUAAACAUAACAUCAACUUAGGGGUUUCACCUAUGCUUUGUGAUGCAGGUUGAGCAGAGGUACUAGCAUGCCAGUGAUCACCAAGAGGAAGUUGCUCCUGCGGCCUCCGCGAUGGUGGCAGGUCAUCAACAUCAAUCAACCUCCUCUGAGAGAAAGAUGGCAACAACAACGGCGGACCGUUAACUCCAUUACUUGAAACCCUAACACGACCAGCGAAGUCUACAUUCUCCUCUCUCGCAGGGACAAUUAGACCAUUUUCCCUCGAUAGGUGAAGCGAAUCCUCAACUCUGCCAUGAACCACACAGCUAGGGUUUAGAGGAGGCCGGAAUUGAAAGAAGGGCGAGAGCUGAAACCCACUUUGCCCAUCGAUCGGCUUCUUCUCCGAUUCCCACUUCUCCUUAUAUCGCAAGUAGUUGAUCGGCUCCCCUCCUCCUCCUCCUCCGCUGCCGCCGCUGCCGCCGCUGCUGCCGCUGCCGCCGAGAUGAGAACUCCUCUUAGACAGGGGAAAAAUCACCCUUCUCCCACCGCCGCCGCCGCCGCCGCCGCCGUCAUAUGUCUUCCUCGUCGUAACGCGAAAGGGGCCGAACCCGGCGACCAUCUCCACCUCCCUCGCCCGAUCCGCUCGGAAGGCGGCCAACAAUGGGGGCCUCCGGCCGCCGAAGGAGCCGAGGUAGCGCAGGUUGGGCGCCAAGGUCGGAGUGCGCGACUCGUCGGUGGAGACGCUGUGCCUGCGGCGGCCGAUCGCGAGCGCGGCGGCGCCGGAGCCGCCGCCCGGGGUGGUGCACGCGGACGAGUUCACGGCCCUGGGGCGAGACGGGGACGACGACGACGACGAGGGGAGCGAGAGUGUAUCCAGGUGGAGGCGGCUGAUCCACGACGAGCGGAGCGCGCUCGACCUCUCCUCCCCCCCGCCGCCGCCGCCGCCUCCGCCGUCGCCGCCGUCGGGGGGAGGGAGGUGGAGGGCGGCGCUCUUGCUUCCGACGGAGCUACGGAGGGAGGGGAUGCGGUAGAGGGACAUGGGCGGCGUCGGCGGCGGCGGUGGAGGGAGAAGGGGUGGGGGAUCAGGGUUGGGGUUCGGAAUGGUGGGGUUUGCUUCCAGAGAAAGAGAGGGUUCGGGGGAAUCUUGGAAAGCUCGUUGAGUUUGGUAAUGGCGGAGGCCAUUGAUGGGGACGGAGAGGAGACCCGGAUGCAUAUUUGCAUACCGACUGACACUUCAGUGAUUACCCGAGAACCGAGGCAUUGCUCGGAAUUCUCGUCUAACAUAAAAAUAAAAAAUUAAAAAAAUUAUAAUAAUAUAUUUUUUAAAAAUUGUAUAAUCUAUAUCUAUCUAUACUACUUACGGAAGAUAUAAAAUCUUUUCCUUUCCCAAAAUGUCGGUUCUAUUAAUAUAAUUCUAAUCACAUGCUAACAAUAUUAUUCAUUCAAAUUUAAUGAAAUAAAUAAAUUACAAUAAAUAAUUUAUUUUAUACAAAUAUUUAUAUAAAUAUUGUAUUAUUAUAAGAGAAUAUUGUACCAUUUAAAUUAAUAUAUUGCACUCAUUUUUUUUAAAAUAAAAUUAUAUUAUAUAUUAAAUAAAAUAUUAAAUUUUUUAAAAAGACAAUUGCUAAGUCAUAUUUAUAUGUACUUUUCUCGAAAGACAAGUAUCCUCAUUUAAGAUAAAAUAAAAAAUAAAGUAUAAUUAAUAAAAUAAAGAAGUGCAAUUUUUUUUUCAAAAUAGUGUAAUAUUUCCUUCCAAAUAAUACAAUAUUUAUACAAAUAACGUAAUAUUUACAUAACUUUUACAUUAAAUUAUAAAUAAUAUAAUAUAUCACGUACAAAUAGUAUAAUAUAUUAUAAAAUUAUGUAAUAUGUAUAUAAACGGCUCAAAUAUUGUACUAUUUGUAAAAAUAUUUACACUAUUUAUAUAAAUGUAGCACUAUUAUAAGAGAAUGUUGUACAAUUUUGAUGGAUAUGUUACACACUUUUUAAAAAAAAAAGAAAAUUGCAUUGUAUAUUAAAUAAAAUAUAAAAUUUUUUGAAAAGAAUAUAUGCUAAAUUGUAGUUACAUGUAUCUUUCUUGAGAGAAAAAAAAAACUCAUUUAUAACAAAAAAAAUAAUAAAAUAUAAUUAAUAAGAUGAAAAAGUAUAAUAUUCUUUCAAAAUAGUACAACAAUCCCUUCCAAAAUAGUGUAAUAUUUGCGAAUUUAUAUAACGUUGUAUAAUUUUUACACUAUAUAAUGAAUAUUAUAGAAUAUUACAUACAAAUAGUAUAAUGUAUUAUAUAUAUUAUAAAAAUCAUAAAAUAUGUGUAUAAAUAAUGCAUAUAUUGCACUAUUUAUAUAAAUAUUUAUACUAUUUAUGUAAACGUUGCACUAUUAUAAGAGAAUAUUGAACCAUUUAGAUAGGUAUAUUGCACUCUUUCUUUUUAAAAAUCAGAUUGUUUUGUAUAUUAACUAAAAUGUCAAAUUUCUCACAAAUAACAACUCUUAAGUUAAAAUUACAUAUAUCUUUCUCGACUGACGAGAAUCAGCAUUUAAGACAAAAUAAAAAACGAAAUAUAAUUAAUAAAAUAAAAUAGUGCGAUAUCUUCUCAAAGAGUUCAACUUCUUUUCAAAUAGUGCAACAUUCUCUUACAAAUAGUACAAUAUUUAUACAAAUAGUGCAACAUAUAUAUCAUUUAUACACAUAUUACAAAAUUUUUAUAAUAUAUUGUAACAUAUUAUAUUAUUUGUACAUAAUCUAUUAUAUUAUUCAUAAUGUAGUACAAAAAUUAUACAACAUUAUAUAAAUUGUGCAAAUAUUGUAUUGUUUGUAUAAAUAUUAUAUUAUUUAGAAGGGAGUGUUGCACGAUUUUGAAGGGAUAUUAUACUUUUUCUUCUUUUCUUAUUAUUUGAAUUUUUUAUUUAUAUGUUAGAUGAGAAUUUUGUUUCUCAAGAAAAGAGUAGUUGUAAUAAUGAUUUAUCAAUUAUAUUUUUCAAGUCAUUUAAUGCAUAUGCUUUUUAUAUAUUUUAGAAAAUGAGUAGUUUGAUCAUCUUUUUAAAAAAUUGGAUCGAAUCUAUAAAAUCCUAAAAAAUAGAUUAGAUUUGUAAGAAUUAAAAAUUAAUAAAAUUUUGCAUACAAAAAGGCCAAAAAAAAAUCUAGGCUGCAAAAUGAGUAACGCUAUCGCGGAGGACCUCACUCAAAAACAUGUCUCUAAUUUGCUUCAUAUUAAAAUAACAAUACCUUCGCACUUUAACUAGACCUAUAACCGACUGUCUCUAGCGCAAGCAAGGCUUGGUGAUUAAUACCCGAUGCCCCAAAUUCAAAUUUCAAUUGAUUUAUAUUUUCAACUAAGUUUAUUUUAAAAAUAAAUAAAUAAAACGAAUAACAUACUAUCUUUUUCUAAAAAUAAAAAAUAAAUAAAAUAGGCCUAUAGCCAACAUAUAUCCACUGUACAACCCCUCCACUGUUCCUCACUCCAACCCCUUUUCCAAUUCUUUCCUUGUUAGGAAAAAGUAUACAGGAAAACAAACAAAAAAAAAAAACCAGGGUCCUUCUCUUCCUCUUUGCUGUUUCCUUGUGUCCCCAUGGCCAUGCUUCUUUGUCUACAAACUUAACUAUGAGCCCACUUGGGUAUUUGAGGGCAAAAAUUGUAUGGACAGGUGUCCGAAUUAGCAUUUUUGGAAACACUACAAAUGAGCGCCACAUGGCUCGCAGGCGCCCAUCUCACCGUCUCUUUCUCUUCCUCGAUUUUUUUUUUAGGGAGAGAGAAAAAAGUAGAGGAAGAAAAAAGGACGGUGAGAUGGACACCUGCGAGCUAGACGACGCCCAUCCGAAGUGUCUCCAAAAAUACUAAUUUGGACACCUUGUCCAUAUAAUUUUUGCCUGUAGUUUGACCACACCUAGUAACUCAAUAAUGGCAAUAAGAUCCAACUCUAUUUGGACAAGCACACAGGUACCCAAAUGAAUAAAAAGAAAAAGUAAACAUCAUCUAAUUAGUUUGCUCUUCUUUGCUUCAAAUCCAAAUGUUUAUUUGGAAAAAACUAUCUUUUUUGAGGUUGGCAAGAGUAUUGCAUGCUGUAGAUAUGCUCUUUUAAUUUCAUCUCUAAUGUUUGAAUGGUACUCUAAUAUUGUUUUCCCCUCUCUACCAGAUCAGCAGAAAACUAUUUAGAUCAACUUCAAUACUCUUAAAUGAAGAUUGAUACAUAUUAGGUUAAUAAAACUAGGGUUGGAAGCGAGCCAAAGUGAGCUUAUAUCGGCUCAAAUUCGACUUGAAAUUAAUUUCGACCCUAAAUUUAGGCUCAAGCUCGGCUUGAAAUUAAUUUAAGUUGAGCUCGAGAGAGCUUAAUUUCGAGUCAAGCUAGCUCGAGUCCUAAACGAGCAGCUUAAAAUUCUCCACAUCGUACGAUCAAUAAUUUAAUUUGUAUAGAACAUUAUUUACAAUUUAAUACAAAAAUAUUUCUAAUAGUUCAAAAUACAAAAUAAUUAUAUGAAAUACGGUAUUAUAAUAGGAAGAAAAAUAACUUAUGAGUUGAAUAUCUAAUCUUUUCAAAUUUACAUGUCUUCUCUUCCGCCUUCAAUCUCUAUAUUAUUCGUUUUUAUCUAUACGGUAAAAAAUGAAUAAAUUAUAUAGGCAAAUAUUGGAUUAAAUUAUCCAAUUAUAUAUAACUAAAAUCAAAAUUUUAUAUAAACAAUAGUUUUUUACCUUAAAAAUAUUAUAUAUAUUUUCUCAAGCGCACAACUAAUGAUAAGGUAGGAAACAAGGGGCGCGUUUUGUUACUUGGUAACUUGAGAGGCUUCAGGAUUGGCCGCUUGGGGUGAGAGAGAGAGAAAAGAGAGAGAGAAAGAGAGAGAGAGAGAGAGAGAGAGAGAUUACGAAUUUAGAGCUCUAUGAAAGAAAAAGAGGGAGAGUAUGUAUAUUUAGUAGAAUUUUGCUAUUUUAUUUGCCUAUUGAGUUUGUUUUUAUGGACCAGUAAUAUUGACCCAAUUUUAAUUAAAUUCAGAUCACUCACUCAGCCUAUAUAUAUAUAUAUAUAUAUAUAUAUAUAUAUAUAUAUAUAUAUANNNNNNNNNNNNNNNNNNNNNNNNNNNNNNNNNNNNNNNNNNNNNNNNNNNNNNNNNNNNNNNNNNNNNNNNNNNNNNNNNNNNNNNNNNNNNNNNNNNNUGCCGAUGCGUGCCGCUCACAAAAAAUACAUGUGUACCAAUACAUAAUGGUAUAAAAUAUUUAUUUUCUUUAGCAACAAAAAAAACUCUAAUUGCUUAUUAUGUAUCUUUAUCAAAUCUUUUAAACUUUAUUAAGAAAAUUACUUACUAAUUUAUUAACAAAUAGAAAGUUUUAACUUUCAAACUGUGCCAUCGGCACGGGAGCUAUAUCGUGCCGAUAUCUUGUUGGCGCGAUACGGCACGGAAGAUACGUCUCGUACCGAUGGACACUUAAAUCCUUGAGAGAGAGAGAGAGAGAGAGAGAGCAAAAGCCAAAACCAAGUGGUGAAUAAACAUGCUCAUUUUUCACUAUAUGCUGCUUUCAUCAGACUCGCAUAUUCUAGUACGUAAGGAGAGCCUAUUAUUCUAUUAAUUAUUCUUCAUGAAAGAAAAUCGAUUUGGAAAAUUGUUUAAUGAAUGAUAAAAAAAAACAUGGCAGGGUGCACUAACAGCAAAUACUAUAAAGACAAAAAUUGAAAAAGAACUGUAAGAAAAUGCUCAUCAGCAUUUGCUCAUUAAUAUAAUUGUUAAACACUGCAGCUAUAGUUUGAUGAAAUGCAAAGCAUGCAUAAUUAACUUCUUGUUUUAUAUGCAAUAACCAAAAUUGCUGGAGUUGAGUACUCAAAAAAAAAAAAAAAGAAGAUUAACUUACGGAAUUAUUACUCGGAUAAAUAAAGUUCCUCACUAAACUAGUGCUUCGAGAAAUAUCCUUAACAGCCCCAACAACCAUGUGUAUCCAAUUCUUGUUCACAUGUUCUCCAACAUCCAAAUCAGAUGCAAAAUCAUUUCUUGGGAAUAAAUUUCCGUGCUUCUGUGAUGCAGAAGAACCAGCCAUACCAGCUGCAACAGUUAAUAUUUGCAGUUUCCGCCAGAGGCAGUCCAGAUAUACCUUAAUGUUUAUUGGUUCCACUUUUUCACAAGCUGAAAUUAGGGCAUCCAAAGCAGAUAAUUCAAGUGAGACAGCCCUUUCACUUUCCUCCGAGUUGCUAGCUGUAAAAUCAAGAUGGACAUCUUUGGUAGAAAGUAGAAGCGGUGAGAGAAAUUUUAUGCACUCUAUAUGUGGUCCUCUCUUAAUUGUCUCAUCAUUUAUUCUCAGUAAAUUAUUGAGUUUUAUUAAGUUAAUUUCAUGCAGAAUUCUAUCAACUGCUAGAAAUCUGAUGAUCUUGCAAUGAGGAAGAAAGAUGAAAUCUGAACUCUCCUUAGGCUCCUCAUUAGUUCUAAGGAGCGAUAAGGCAAUACUGAACUCUUUAUGAGCUUUUUCUUCACAACCUGAAGAAAGGGAAAGGCAUCCACUUAGCCAGAAGAAACGAACCCAAAAUGCACUAUUAUCAGUUGUAACAGAGCCCGAGACAGAUGUCUCAGUAGAACUUUUAGGACCUUUGGUUACUUCCAUAUUUUCUGUCGGUGAGAAAUGUUUCUGACUAGCAACUAAGUCCAAAGGUGAAUCCAAAGCCGCUAGCUCAAUAACUUUGCAAAGAUGAUAAGACGCAUCAGAGUAGAAUUCUGAGCAUCUUGAUUUCUUAGAAGAACAUGAUCCUUGGUCAUAACAUAUUUCAGCAAGAAAUAAACAACACAAAGGAGACCGAUCCAGACCGCAGUUUCUAGUAAAUUUCUCUAAUUCAAGGAACUUAAUGAAAUAGUCUUGAAAGGGAACAUCUAUAAAAGCAACCUCUUCCAGCAACAAAUGUCCUACAUGAUGAGCACAAUAGUUCUUCGAAACCUUCGAGAUAAAUUGAGUAACAUCAUUAUAUUCCACAUCUGAUGUAUAUGAGAGAAUAUCAGGACAAGAACCAUAUGAAUUUCCAGAACUAUCAUUAUCUUUCACGCUUGGCUUACCAAGUAUGAAGGAUUCCAGAAACUGAAAGACAACUUUAGCCAUAUCCUUGCUGGUAGUUUCCAAUUCAUCUUUCCCUGAUUUGCGGCUUCGAAGCCUUUCAAGACGAGUGCUACGCCUUUCAUGAGGAUGUUCUUUGUCUAUGCUGAUAUUUUUCUCUUUCAUCAUUGUAUAAGAAUCAGUAUAUGUGCUUUCACCAACAGGAGCUUCAGUAUGUGUUUUCUCUUUUCCAUUUUCCGCGAUCAUAUUUGUAUUUAUAGGAAAUUGAAUAUCUAUCUUCGUGGAUGUUAAGCCUUCGGCAUUCUUAUCAAUUCCUAAGCUACUUUUACCAGCACCAGUAUCACCAUUUGUCGGCUCAUUAAUAAAGAGACUCAAAAUUGCAUCAAGAAGGGCAGACCAUGUAGCUCCAGUUAACUGUAAUCUGAUAUAUUGGCUUUUCCUCUUCACCAUGUUUUUAUUAUCUUCCACAUCAUUAUCCUCCAGUUUUCUUUUGUUCGGAAAUUUCAGCUUGACAUGCUUUGGCUCGAGUUUGUCUAUUCCGCGAGGUGCAAAUGGAACUGGCUCAGCAUCUUCAAUGGUUUUUCUGACAUGUGACGCACGAGAAUGUGAUGGCCAAUGCCUCAGUAUUAGAUUUGCAACUGAAAGGCAUGCAACCUCAUCUCUAAUAGCAAUAAGUACUUCCAAGAGCUUCUCCAUACAGUUCCCUGAAUGAAACAGGUAUCAUACCCAUAUAUACCAUUUUUAGAAACAUAUAGCUACAUGCAAAAGGUACAUAAUUAAGACUAAUUGGGUAUAACAGAUAUUUUACAGAUGCAUCCCUGCAAAAUCAGUAAGUUACGUAUAUACCCUCAUAAAAUAAUAAUUUUCAUAUAUACUUCUUGAAAAUUUACUUUCUAACAGAAAUACCCUUAUCUUAAACUUUCUUAAGGUUGGAAGUCGGCCAACUUAUUAGGGGAACUACAAUUAGUACUAGGAAAGACAUUUACCUAGAUGGAUUUUUGUAAGUACAAUGGCAUCUACAUAAGAAAUUAAGUUUUCAAAAGGCAUCAAUGAAAAUUCAGAUUUUGAAGGGACACGUACAAAAUAGAUAAUAUUGCGCAGGUAUUGUAGGUAUAUCUCAAUAGAAGGUGCAAAUACUAUGAAAUUGUUAAGAAUUAAAAAUGCCCCCACAUCAGGAGCUGCAUAAAUCCUUACAGUUUUUAGGGCUGCAUAAAAGCCCUUGCUCAAAUGCCCAUCUUGAGGUGCUAAGUAAGCCCAUGGCGCAAGACAGUGUUCCCAGCUGAUUCCAAAUAACUGAGUCAUUAGCAUCAAGCUCUACAGCUUGAAGGUAGCACUGUAGAGCACUCUCAUAAUAUGUAGAACCUUGCUCAAGGAAAGCAGUAGCAAGGUUCUUCAAGGACAGAAACCUGUUGAUUUAACAAAGAAAAUCACCAUCUUGUAGGGAAGAUAACAAACAACGGUUAAGCAUGUUACAAUGAGCCAAGAAGAAAUUUAGCAUCUUCUUGUUGACUUUUCUUAUAAAUCAUCUUAAAAAGUACAUUUCUCUUGACCAUCGUGCCAAUUUGGAAAGUCAAACCGACUUCCUGGUGUGUUAAAUUCAUCUUUCACUUUCAACCAAAUGCUCCUGCCUCCAUCGAUGAUAUUAUGGUAUAAACUUAACUCCUUUUUUUUAUUUUUCUUUUUUUUCCUUUUAGCAACACAUGACACUUUGGUUCUAGUUGUUAGUAAAACUUUCUCAUUCCAACCAACUUAAAAGUCCUUCCUAUUUAACAUCCUAUUUACAAACUUCUUUCACCUUUAAAGCAUCUUUAACUUAGAUGCCUAAUUCUAUGACACUCUUACUGUCACUACUUUCUAACUGACACCACAUAGAUUUUCAAGGCUUAGUUUUAAAAUGUAGAUCCAAAUUUUCUGAAUUAUUAAAUUAUGUGCUUCUAACAUAUUUUCUUUAUUUUAUGAUGCAUGGAAAUAAAAAAAGUUACCUUCAUUCUACACAACCAUAACAUAAAACAAACCUCUAAUACAUGAAAUUGUUGUUAAACAAAGUUUUGCUAUGACUAUUCGAAUCUCAAUAUUUACUCGAACUUUGUUUGAAAAUCUUCUGACAAGUAUCUGAAAUCAAAAGCCAAAACUGCUAAUACCGCUGAAAUUGCCACAAUUCUUCGAUUUAGGAAAAACACCAACCCUAAUCCAAAUCGCAUAUUCAAAAAAUGUUAAAGGCUUUUAGGACACAGCAUGCUUUUCAGUUUUCACCAAAAACAAAAAGCAAGAAAACUCCAUCUUCAUUGAUAUCAUAAUUCCAGAUUUACUAGCAGUAACACGCCUUUGUGCCUACCGACCAUCAUAUGUAUCAUGGUGCAGUAUGUGCAAUACUAAGCACAGUUGGUAUAAAUCACACACAAAGACCUUUUUAUAUGUCCGGCAUGCAUUGGCACGAGGCAUGUCGGCACAGCAAUGCCAACAUGGUCAACAAAUGCUCAUUGUGCUAGUCAGAAGGACAAAAAAUGUUUUGAUCCCACGGUCCGCCAAGAUUCGUUGUGGACAACCAGGUUUGCACAUGCGCCGUUGAAUGACUAGGGUAGAAAGCUAUUGAUUGGUUCCUGAACAAAAAGCGAAGGUUCCAAAGCAUUCAACUAAACCAAAACUAGAGACCUAUGGUUUUACUUGACUUGUCUUUUCUUAUCAUGUUGGUUUGGUUUCAACUUUCAAUUGACAUUUUCAACUUUCAAUUGACAUCUUUCUUGAAAGGAUUGAUUUGCUAAUUUAGGUUUCCUUCAAAUACAAACAGGACUAAAGAAAAAUAGUAAUAUUUAAAUCAAAUAAAAAGAAAAGGAAGUGAUAUGAGCCGCUAACCUUAAUUGUAGUAGAUGUUGACUAUUGCCAAUUUUAUCAACCUACCAAACAAAAAAAUUAAUCAGUACAACCAACCAGAAAAAGAAAACAUAAUACAUAUACCCUUAAACAGAUUGAUUACCUGAGCACUUGAUACAAGAGGGUCCUUUAAAACAGCUUCUAACAGUUCGCAAGCUUUUGCAUAAUCUUUAGCUUGCAACUUGAGAAGUCCCUCAUGGUACUUUUGAGAAAGAUGAAAUUCCUGAAAGUGCCAUAUUAUUAAAGAAUCAUCAAAGACAAUGUCUAAGGUAUUUAUAUUCCACAGAUUGAAGCAACAUCAUGUUAUAUCAGAAAACUGAAUUGAUAUCAGUUUCAAAACUAGUAAACCGGCACCCUGACAAGAAUGGAUGUAUAUAACCAGGCAUGGAUAAAUUAUAUACACGUAGGGCCAAUAACAUUAUGUGUAAAUUAUGUUACAAAAGAGUGAAUAUUACAAGAAACAAUCAAAACAAAGAAUUUAAAGAAUUCAAAAUCCCUUUUGCGGCUCACGAUAAACCCUUCAAAAAGUGGUAAGAGGCAGUUUUGAUAAAUGCACGAAAAGUACGGCCACAACAAAAAUCCCUCCAUAUGGCUGAAACCAACAUAUCGUGCACCACAAUUAAAACUCUAACAGGUGUCUUGGUUCCACGUCCUAGAUCAUCACAGUUGUGCGAACCACGCACUAAUUCCUAGAAAGAAAUAAAUGUUCACACAACAAAUCAUUGUAAUUCUUAAUUUCCUCGCAUGUUCAUAUCAUAAUCGCUACAAUAUCAACAAUUCAAGGUCUCUAAAAUGAACAUCUCAACAGAGGCAUAUCAAGCAACACAAUUAAAAUACUAAUAUGUUUCUUGGUUUCAUUUUGGUUUCAUGUCCGAGAUCAUCAUUCUUGUGUGAACCAUGCAGUAUCCUACUAAGAAAUUAAUUCUCCAUGCAACAAAUCACCUCCAACCUUAAUUUCCCCGCUUCUUCGCACAGUGAAUACCUACAACAUUACCAAUUCAAGACAUCUACAACGAAGUUCUCACCGGAGAGGUAAGAAUCAAUUGAAGAACAAGAAAAAGGCAAGAAAGGACGCAUUAUUUAACCCUAAUAUAGUGCAUUCGCACCAGAAGAGAAAAAAAAGGGAAAAGAAAGGGAAUCGGGGGAGGAGAGAGAAAGGGCCCGCACCUGGGCUUCUUUGGUGGGCGCGAGGGGCUCCCAUUGGGCACCGGAGUCGGUGUCGUUGAUUGCGGCGAUGGAGAACUACGAAGAAGAGAACACAAUAUCGUGUCAGAGAGAGAGAGAGAGAGAGAGAGGGAGAAGGGUUUGGGAUCUCACCAUGGCGGAGACGGAGGCGCCGGAACCCUAAUUUUCGCAGCUCCGGGGUUCACCGGAGCGAGCGAGAUCGCGGCGGAGGAAGAGGUAAAGGGAGCAUCAACUCCAACGUGGUCGGAACCAGCUUAUACCGGUGGUAUGGGUUUUGCUUCUGGAAGAAUUUGUAACGGCGACCAGUGUCCCGUUAAUGGCUUUGAGAAUUGAGACUGCAACCAGCGAAUGUGAACGGGUCGGAUUCGGGCGGGUUCUCAAAAAUCCGAAUCCGACAAUCAAAUCUAAAAUUCGAACCGGACGGAGUUUAAUGUCCUAAAAUUUAAUUUGAAUUUGAACUUCGGUUAAACAAACAUGCCUCGUGUUUAGGCCUGUUUGGAUGCAUCGUUAAAAAAUUCCAUAGAAUUUUUAUUCUAUGAUUUUGAUCUAAAUAAAAUACGAAAUUCUGUAACUAUAAAAAAACUAGCAACUAACCCGUGCAAUGCACGGAUUUUAAAUUUAUCUUUUAAUUACAUUUUUUACAUAAUAUAUAUUAAUUUUUGUAUAUUAAGUUUUUCUAAUAUAUUUUUAUUACAAUUUUUAUAUAAUAUAUAUUAUAUAUUAAUUUUUACAUAUUAAGUUUUUAUUAGAAAAAUUAUUGAAUCAAAUUAAAAUAAAUACUAUCAUGAUAUACUAAUAGAUUGUAAGUAAAUAAUUUAAAAUNNNNNNNNNNNNNNNNNNNNNNNNNNNNNNNNNNNNNNNNNNNNNNNNNNNNNNNNNNNNNNNNNNNNNNNNNNNNNNNNNNNNNNNNNNNNNNNNNNNNAUUUGGUCCAUGAGGCUUGGUUUUGGUUCAUGGGUGAGGUUUAUGAACUUGGCUCAUGAAUCUUGGUUUAUGGACUUGAUUCAUGAUUCAUGAUCUUGGUUUAUGGUUUAUGAAGUUGGGUAUAUUGGAUAUAGUUCAUGAACUUGGUUUAUUUUGGUUCAUAGGCCUUGAUUCAUGAACUUGGGUUAUGAUCCGUGGUGUUUGGUUCACGAACUUGGGUGAGGUUCAUGGAUUUGGUUCGUGGUUCAUGAACUUGGUUUAUGAGUUUUGGUUCAUGAGACUUGAUUCAUGAACUUGGGUAUAGAAUUUGGGAUUUGGUUCACGAACUUAGGUUCAUGAGCCUAAGUUAGAAGUUGGAUUUGAGUUUUGGGUUUGGAUUUGGAUUGUGGACUUGAUUUGAGUUGGGUUUGGGUUCUUUAUGUGGACAUGGUUUGGAUUUUGGUUUGGAUUUUAUUUGGGUUUUGGAUUUGGGUUGUGGACUUGGGUUGUGGACUUGAUUUGGUUUUAGGUUUGGAUUUGAUUUGGUUUGGAUUUGGGUUCGGAUUUUAUUUGGGCUUUGGUUUUGGGCUUUAUUUGUGCACUUGAUUUGGUUUGGGCUUGGGUUUAUUUAUGGAAUGGGUUUGGGUUCUUUAUGUGGACUUGGUUUGGUUUGGGUUUAUUUGGGUUUUGGGUUUGNGUUUUGGUUCAUAGGCCUUGAUUCAUGAACUUGGGUUAUGAUCCGUGGUGUUUGGUUCACGAACUUGGGUGAGGUUCAUGGAUUUGUUUCGUGGUUCAUGAACUUGGUUUAUAACUUUUGGUUCAUGAGACUUUAUUCAUGAACUUGGGUAUAGAAUUUGGGAUUUGGUUCACGAACUUAGGUUCAUGAGCCUAAGUUAGUAGUUGGAUUUGAGUUUUGGGUUUGGAUUUGGAUUGUGGACUUGAUUUGAGUUGGGUUUGGGUUCGUUAUGUGGACUUGGUUUGGAUUUUGGUUUGGAUUUUAUUUGGGUUUUGGAUUUGGGUUGUGGACUUGAUUUGAGUUGGGUUUGGGUUCUUUAUGUGGACUUGGUUUGGUUUUAGGUUUGGAUUUUAUUUGGGUUUUGAAUUUGGGUUGUGGACUUGGGUUGUGGACUUGAUUUGGUUUUUGUUUGGUUUGGGUUUGGAUUUUAUUUGGGUUUUGGUUUCAGGCUUUAUUUGUGAAUUUAAUUUGGUUUGGGCUUGGGUUUAUUUAUGGAAUGGGUUUGGGUUCUUUAUGUGGACUUGGUUUGGUUUGGGUUUAUUUGGGUUUUGAGUUUGGUUUGGGUUUUGGGUUUGGUUUGGGUUCAAGUUUGGGUUUAUUUGUAGACUAGGUUUGGGUUUAGGUUUGGAUUUGAUUUGGGUUUUGGGUUUUGGUUUAUUUGUGGAUUGUAUUUGGUUUUGGUUUGGUUUGGGUUCGGAUUUUAUUUCGGGUUCGGGGCAAUCCACUUUUGAUUUUUGCAAUUUGGUUCGGAUCCGAAGAAAUCCACCUUUUGAUUUUGGUUUGAUUUGGAGUUCGAAGAAAUCCCUUUUUGAUCUCGAUUUGGAUUUGGGGUAUGAAGAAAUCCCCGUUUUGAUUUUUCCGUUUGAUUUCGAUUUGGAUUUGAUUUUCAAAUUUGAUUUGGGGUUCGAAGAAAUUCCCGUUUGAUUCUCCAAUUGGAUUUGAUUUGGGGUCCGAAGAAAUCCCCGUUUGGUUCUCUAAUUUGGAUUUGAUUUUUCAAUUUGGAUUUGAUUUUUCAAUUUGAUUUGAUUUGGAGUCCGAAGAAAUCCCCGUUUGAUUCUCCAAUUUGGAUUUAAUUUUCCAAUUUGAUUUGGGGUCCGAAGAAAUCCCCGUUUGAUUCUCCAAUUGGAUUUGAUUUUUCAAUUUGAUUUGGGUCCGAAGAAAUCCCCGUUUUGAUUCCAAUUUGGGGUCCGAAGAAAUCCCUGUUUUAAUUUUGAUUUGGGGUCCGAAGAAACGGGGAAUCAAAGAUUCCCCUCUACUCUUCUAGCGAUACUUCCCUGGCGAUGCUGUAGAUGUCAUCGGCGAAGUUGUUGACGGUGGCACGGAUCUAUUCGGCCGUCGGAUUUGAUUUGACAUUUUCGAAGAAAUAUUGAAGGGUCCGAAGAAACGGGGAAUCAAAGAUUCCCCUCCCCUCUUCUUUCGAAAAGAUCAAAACGGCGAUUGUAGAUGUCGUCGACGGAGUUGUUAACAGUGGCGUGGAUCUGUUCGGCCGGCAAAUUUGGUUCGAUAUUUAUCGAAGAAAUGUUGAAGGGUCCGAAGAAACAGGGAAUCAAAGAUGCCCCUCCCCUCUUCUUUCGAAAGUAUCAAACCAAACAUGCUGGAGACGGUCGCGGCAAUGUAGAUCACCCAUUCCGUCAUCAACGACUUCAGAUGGGGUAUUGAGAGGUCCGAAGAAACGGGGAAUCAAAGAUUCCCCUCCCCUCUUCUUUCGAAAAGAUCAAAACGGCGAUUGUAGAUGUCGUCGACGGAGUUGUUAACAGUGGCGUGGAUCUGUUCGGCCGGCAAAUUUGGUUCGAUAUUUAUCGAAGAAAUGUUGAAGGGUCCGAAGAAACAGGGAAUCAAAGAUCCCCCUCCCCUCUUCUUUCGAAAGUAUCAAACCAAACAUGCUGGAGAUGGUCGCGGCAAUGUAGAUCACCCAUUCCGUCAUCAACGACUUCAGAUGGGGUAUUGAGAGGUCCGAAGAAACGGGGAAUCAAAGAUUCCCCUCCACUCUCCCACCGAAGCCAUCUAGAUGGUAUGGAUGGCUACGAUCGCAGGACAAAAGAAAAAAAGAAAAGGGGGGGAAGAAAAGAGAUUUUUUUUUGUUUAUAUUAUUUUUACUUUCUUUCUUUUUUCUUUCUUUUUUACUACCUAUUGAUGGAUUCGAUGAAGCGGCUCAACGAUCUCUCUUUCUUUCCGCGGCUCGGCGAUUUCUCCUUCUUUCCGCAGCUCGAGUGAUCUCUCCUCCUUUGAAUAUUUUGAACUUGGAAGUGUGUAGAAAUCUAUCUAUCGUGUCGUCUCUAUCCAAAAAAAAAAUUCUCUGAAUUUGAUUUCGGUUCCCGUAUUUAUAAUGGGAGGGGAGGAGUUAGUUAAGAAUUAAAAAUUCGAAAUUCAAAUUUUGAAUUAUUUGUUGGAUGGUUGGAGGAUAUUUGGGGAGUGGUUGGGAAUUGAAUUUUGAAUGAGUUGUUGGAUAGUUGAAAGAUAUUUUGGGAGUUGGUUGGAGGUUCGAAAUUCGAAAUUCGAAUUUUGAUUGAAUUAUUGGAGGAUAUUUUGGAGUUGGUUGGGAAUUCAAAAUCGAAUUUCGAAUGGAUUGUUGGAUGAUAUUUUUGGAAUUGGUUAGGGAAUUCGAAAUUCGAAAUCGAAUUUUGAAUGAGUUGUUGGAAGAUGUUUUGGAAAUUAGUUGGGAAUUCGAAAUUCGAAAUCGAAUUUCGAAUGGGUUGUUGGAUGAUAUUUUGGGAAAUGGUUGGUGGUUCGAAAUUCGAAUUCGAAUUUCGAACGGGUUGUUGGAUGAUAUUUUAGGAAAUGGUUCGGAAUUCGAAAUUCGAAUUUCGAAUGGGUUGUUGGAUGGUUGAAGGAUAUUUUGGAUUUUGUUGGGAAUUCGAAAUUCGAAAUCGAAUUUUGAAUGGGUUGUAAUUUGAAAUUGAAUUUCGAACAGAUAUUUUAUAUAAUGUGGAUGUGGGCCGUCGUUGAUCAGGCCCGCUUUAAUUUAUUGGGCCCAAAUGAUAAUAUUUAAUGGGCUGGAAUAAGGCCCCCCCAUUUUUCUUUUAUUUGUUUGGGCUUUCAUGAGGCCCACCAACUCACAUUUAUGAAUGGGUCUAUUGUGAAUUUUAAAUUGUAAUUAUUGGCCCUAAAAUUUUCUGGUCAAUAUGAGACCUAUCAAAAUUGCUUGAGUCUGAAUCUAAUCAGUUUCGAUUAUGAUUAGAAAUUUUUUUUUUUCACUUCAAACAACGUCGACGACAUAUUAUUGGCUGAAAAUGACAUGGAGUUAAUCAAUACCACUAAGGAGUGGUUGUCUCUCAACUUUGAAAUGAAAGACAUGGGUGAGGCGAACUAUGUUCUCGGAGUAAAGGUCAUCCGUGAUCGCUCUAGAAGGCUUCUUGGUUUGUCUCAAGAAUCUUAUAUUAAAAAGAUUCUAAAGCAUUUUAGGAUGCAUCAUUGUAAACCCGUUGAUACUCCAGUGGAGAAGAAUCAAACUCUGAGUCUUGAUCAGUGCCCUAAAACGGAUAAAGAGAAGGAGCAAAUGAGUAGGGUUCCUUAUGCGAGUGUAAUUGGCAGUUUGAUGUACGCUAUGAUGUGUACUCGGCCUGACAUUUGCUUCGCUGUUAGCUUGGUAAGUCGUUACCAGAGCAACCCAGGACCUAUUCAUUGGCAAGCGGUCAAGAGAAUCCUUCGAUAUUUAAAAGGAACCAGUGAUCUCGUUCUCUGUUUUCAAGGAGGGGACUUGAGAUUGAAAGGAUAUAGUGAUGCUGAUUGGGGCGGUGAUAGAGAUGAGCGCAGGUCCACCUCAGGCUAUGUGUUUAUGCUUGGAGGUGGGGCAAUUUCCUGGUGCAGUAAGAAGCAGAGCUGCAUUGCCUUGUCAACCAUGGAAGCGGAAUACGUUGCUUGUUCAGCGGCCGUACAGGAGGCAGUUUGGCUGAGGAGAUUUCUCCAACACCUCGACAUCGUGACUCGAGCAAAUGAACCUGUUGAGAUGUUCUCUGACAGCAUGGCUGCCCUGGCGUAUGUGAAGGAUCCCAAGUAUCAUGGCAGGACCAAGCAUAUUGAUAUCCGAUUUCACUACAUUCGAGAUAUGAUUAAGCUAGGCGAGGUCGUUCUUAAACAUAUUUCCACCACUAGGAUGGUGGCUGAUCCGUUGACCAAGCCGAUAGCUAGGGAUGUGUUCCAGACCCACGUUGGGAGUUUGGGUCUUCGUAGGUUUUGAUUUAUGGACAUUAUUUUGUAUUUUACGCUUUAUUAAUGAAAAUGUGUUUUUUCUUUUAAUGUGAUUGCGUAAUUGAUACUAGUAGGCACAUAUUCGUUAAGUCACCGGGCUCAGAUCAGCCCACUCACACGGGUGAUCGCCCUGGCACCUAGGUGGUGAGCAGGAUGAGACUAAAUAAUCAUAUUGAACUUGAGUAGUUGUAAUAUGAUUGCUUUGUUCAUAUACGUUAUGAAUAAAGUGUUAACGUAAUUUAAAAGUCGCCUUAAUUAGUUUAAGAUGAGACUCUCAAGAGUCAGAUAUGAAUUUUUGGUGAAAUUUCAUAUCGAGCCUGUAUAGUAGCCGAACCUAAGUGCUCAGGUUAGAGAGAUGACUUGAGUUGUGGUGGUUAGAUACCUUAGUGGUACCUAGACCAAGGUUCGUAUGGCGUUUUUUUUAGAGCGUGACAUGACCCAUUGAGUGGGAGCUCCGCCAUAGCAUACAUAUCAUACUGUAUGUGCUUGUCGACCAGUUAGUAGAGUGACAUAAGUUCUUCCCUCCAUGUCACUGUGUGAGCACUAACCCUUUUGUGCCCUCGACUUAGAACUACGUUAUGAAGUGGAGGUCAAAAGUAACUAACUUAGCGUGUAUCUCAGGGUCAUGAGAAAAUACGAUCUCGCGGAGCACGUCUAGUAAAGUGCUUGGACCAAUAUGGAUUAACGUGAGGGGCUGAGGAAGAUGUUUCGAUAACACACCACGUAAGUCUUGUGACUCAUUGCCCGGGCGGUUAUCUCGGUUGUGUUACUUGAGAUAAUCAUGAGUACGAGAAAUAACGGUGGGGUCGAGCCCUGUCAUUACAGGAGAGGGACUUUGUGAUGCUUGAUCCGGUGUGUGUUGAAACGUCUAGGGCGUAAACGAAUUAAGUCAGUGAUAUGCUAUAUUAGUUGGGUGGUGACUUAAUUUAGGACUCCUGCAUGUGGUUCUUUCGUCAGGUCGCACGCUCUAUUACCCGUAUGAAGAGACGAAUGAGUGAGAGAGAAUUGGCCAAUAUGGCCAAGUGGGAGAUUGUUGCCAUAUGGUUUGUCCACAUUGGCGGGUUAUGAUUAAACCCGAUCCACAUAAGAUGUGGAUCAUGAUUUAUCCUAAUAAGUUUAGGAUAAGUAUAAAUUAUAUGUUUCUUAUCAGUUAAGAAACAUAUCUUAUAAUGAAUAUUUAUUAUAUGUUAAUAAAUAUCCCAAUCCUAAUCCUAAUAAGAUUCAGGAUAUUUAGGGGUUCCAUUAUUCUAUAUAUACGCCCCCGUUUUCUCCCGUAGGAACGACGGGAAAAGAAUACGAUCUAAUUCGAGAAUCCACAAAAUCUUCCUUCUUCUCUCUUUUCUUCCUUUCUGGGAUUUCCACCUACGUUCCCGGGGUUUUAGAGCGUGGACAUAGGAGAGGACUUUAGUAGCCCUCUCCGAUUGGCAUCCGUAACGUAAGGCGAUCCGUUCCGUGACGUAAGGCGUACGCGUGGAAGAAGACGAGAAACGUGGGAGAUCCAGAAGCAUCAAGACAAGGACGAUCCAAGAAGACUUGUAAAACGAGCAAUCCGAUCCGAUUCCGGUUCCCGGAUACAUCGGCUAUCCGGUUUGUAAGUUUCCGCUGCCUAUUAUUUCCAACAGUUGUCAAAGAAAUAGCGGCCCACAACUUACUCACGGACCUUUUAUAAAGCAACUUUUGUGUUUCCCCAUAGUUAUUAGCUAGCUUCUUUUUCCUUAUCAAGUUUUGCUGAAAAAAAAAAGAAUAUUAAUGAUUUUUUCUUUUUUUUAUCUUUUUGUUUUAUCUUUUUUUUUGCCCUUUUCUUUCAAUGAAAAAUAAUAUUUUUUUCAUAGACUUUUCCUUAAAUCUACCUAGGUAGGACUACUGUCCUGUUGUCCAAGUUUGUAGAGAAAAUAAUAAAAGAGGCUAUAUAUUAUGCUGAAUUUGGAGCAAAAAAAUUAGUAACUUAUAAAUUUACAUAAAUUAUAUCGAAUGUGUUAGUUAUUAUUAGUUUGCAUAUGUAGAAUAAAAAUUAAAUACAAUGCUGGAAGAAUAGUCAUUGGAAAUUGAUAAUUUCGUAUUUUAUAGCUUUGACUUAAUCUAUAAAUUUUUAUUAAAAAUUUUAUCCGACUAUUUUGUGCUAUCAUCGAGGAUCCACAAUCACAAACAAAAAUUAUUUUGAUAAAAUCUACCCGCCGCAUUGCCCGAAUAGCUACACUAGUUUCACAAGACGUUUCCAUCCUUAAUUAUUAGAAUAUUGUAGGUACCAUAUCAUAAAUGGGGCUGCUUUUACCUUUUCAUUGAAAGAUGUGUGAAGAGAUGCCAUUUGAUGAAGCAUAAUAAUAUCUCCUCCUGAAUACCACCAUCUGAAAGUGAGUGCAAUGGAAAAAAGAUGUGCCUCUUACAUUACCACAACUUUUUGGAAAUAUAUACUAUAUGAAAAAAUGUGUCUAAUUAAACAAUAUUUUUUCUUCGAGGAAUGUAUAUUUUUAUGAAGAGUUAAAUGCAUUCGUAUCUCUACAAUCAUGAUUGUAUAUUGUUCCUCCUUUUAGUUUAUUAUCGUUAUAGAACUAUCUAUAUUUUAAGUAAAAUAUUAAUUUUGCCAUCGUAAAUAUAUCUCUCCAACUAUCAUAAUAGUAUAAUAUAAGAGGAAUAAAAAUAUUAAAUUAUCUUAUAAAUUAAUUAGAGUUAAGUAUUUAACCUAUGGUUAAUUAAAAUUUUCUAACAGAUUCUACAGUAUAGACAUAUUUCAAAAUAUUAAGAUUUUUGUAAGAACAAUAUUUGAAAGUUGAACUUUAUAGCAAUACAUUUACAAUUCACUAUAUUUACAGAGAUCUGUAUAAAAUUAACUCUUUUACGAAAGAAUAUUAUUAGUUCUUAGAGGGAUGUUUUUUAUUUAUAAAUAAUAAAUAAUUCAUGGCCUCCAGCAUGAGAGAGAGAGAGAGAGAGACACACACACACACACAAACACACACACCCAACAACAUCACACAACAACCAUAUAUAAAUAUAUAUAUUUAUAUUAUAUAUUAUAUAUAUAUAUAAUAUAUUAUAUAUAUUGAACUAGGCUACUAUGCUAUUAAUAGCACAAGUCAUUGGUGCUACCAAGUUUUUAGCCAUUGAUUAAGAAAUAUGCGUUAGGAUGAUGUGGGCCCCCUUAGGGUUGAGUAGGUGUUUUUGAAUAGUAUGAUCUAACGGGUGAAAAUGAUGAAAAGGAUAGAUCUAACGUGGAAAACUUGUAGCACCAAGUGCUUCAUGCUAUUAAUAACAUAGUAUCCAACUAUAUAUAAUAUAUAUAUAUAAUAUAUAUAUAUAUAUAUAUAUAUAUAUAUAUAAUAUCCGCAAUUUGAGUGCUUAAUUAAGAUAUUUCGAUUGUGAAAGUAUUUUAUUUUUUGUGAAGGGAUUCCGGCCACAAUUUAAAAGAAAUAAAGUUAAGGGCAAUCAUGAUAAUGUGUUCAAAUUUUGCUUGAAUAUUUGUAAUUAUAUGAUUUAGUGCUACUAAUUAGAAGCAUUAAUCCAAUUUAGUUAUAAUAUAUAUAUAUAUAUAUAUAUAUAUAUAUAUAUAUAUAUAUAUAUAUAUAUUUGUUUAGCAUUCGUGCAAUAAGUGAUUGGAAGUGCAAUUUGAUUGAAUGAAAAUUUAUACAAUGUUAAAUAAAAAAAUUAAGCAAUUAAUGCGACGUGAGAAUUUUCUUAAUCCCUAUAAUUAAUGCAUCAUGUUACUUAUUUUAAUAUUGCAAAUUAUUAUAAAAUUUUGUAUAGAGAAUUUUAACGUGGUCGAUCCAAACAUGCGAAGCCCAAAAAAAGGGUUUUGCAUGUCUAUCCUCUGAUUUAGCAAUAAUUGGUGGAAAUAAUUUACGGACCUCUGAUAUUGUCCGAUGCCAAUUUAAAGAGUUUUUCAUUAAUUUCAAUUAUAUCCCCGUAGUAUGAGGUUUAACAAUUUAGUUCCUAAAAUUUGUUUCAUCUCACCAAUUCCUUUUAAACUAUCAUUUCACGUGGAUACAUAUAUAUGUCAGCUUCAUGCUUAAACCUCGCUUAAUUUAUCAAACUUAAAAACUCUGCAUGUAAAAUUAAAAUUAGUUAAUAGAAUUGUUUCAAAAACAUGCUUUAAGGACUAAAUUGACAAAUCAAAUUAAACUUCAAGAACUGCAUGCAUUUAUAGUUAACCGCACUUAUACGUACCCAAUAAUUUUUAAUUGCGAUUAUGCCGUACGUGAACCAGUGUUAUAUCAUUUGAGAAAAAACACAUGCAAUGCUAGAAUAUUAAAACCAUGCAAAAUUAUUUAUUUAUUUAUCUAUAUUUGCGUGCACAGGAAUUAUAAAAGUAGAAGAUACCAUCAACUUCACACACAUGAAAGAGAAACAUUCUAUAAAUACGUACUAUUAGAUACGUAACACUAGCUGAUCGAACCAUGUAAUUGAAAAGCUAAUUAGAAUAUUGUGAUCUCAACAAUACUCGCCAGUAGUUGAGAGAUCAGGAUCGGAUCGACCAGCCCUGCAAAGAAAUUCCUACGCAUGUGACUGUAGAGAGUCUGAACACUGAUACGACAGUGUAAACGGUUAGGCCGCAGUAGAUUGAUUUAUGACCAUUUGGAUCUUCCUUUCGAGUUCGUUCCUCUUGGCGCCCACAAUCUUGUGCAUCACCUGCCGACCUUUGAGCAGGAAGAAGGUCGGUAUCGCCCUCACCUUCCACUUCGACGCCAAAUGCUGUGCCAACAAACCGUAGAUCAAUCAAUAAGCCAUCCCUAACCCUAACCCUAACCCUAACCCUAACCCUGACUAUCAUAAUAGGGAACUGAGUUGAUGAAAAGGGCGAUGCUUACUUCGAGCUCAUCGACGUCGAUCGUCACGAACGCCACGUCCUUGAACUGGGCCGCCAGCUCCGCGAAAGCCGGCUCGAUGAAGCGGCACGGCCCGCACCACUUCGCCGAGAAGUGGACCACCAUCUUGUGCAGGGCAUCAAGUAAAUUUCAGAUGAAAUGAGUAAGGAGCUUAUUUGCUGAAUAUAAAUAUUAAAAGGGCAAAGCUAGGUUUACAACGCAAAGUAGAAUGUAAUUCUGCAACUUUAUUGGUUAUCUAAAGGCCAAGUUUUAUACACUAGGCUGAUCAACUUUUCCUUUUUUUUUAUAAUAAUAAAAUAUAAAAAGGAUUGACUCAACCCUAGCUAUAAUGUAGAGUGGUAGGAUUCUAGUCCCUCUUAGAUUGUAGAUUUAAUUAGCAUUUAUUACAUUAAAAACACAAGAUAUGCUAAGUCUAAAAUUGAACUACCGUUUAGUUCGGGGUUAAGGAAAAAUUAGUUAUUCCAAGAAUAGGGUUAAGGUGGGAUUAUAGUAUUUUUGUGUUUGGUUAGGGGUUGGAGUUAGUCUAGAAUAGUGAAAAAUAGUGUUUGGUUGGAGUAGGUAGGAUAAGAAGGAUAGUGUGUUAUUAUGAAUAGAAAAUAGUAUUUGGUUAGGAUUUGGUGGGAUUAGGUAGGAUUAGCUAACCCGGAUAAUCCAUUUUAGGUGGGGUUAGCUAACCUCACUCAUUUUUGGGAGUGUUUGGAGAUAAUAUGGGGGUUAAGGGGUUAUUCCAUUCUUAACCCCCAACCAAACAAAGGUUUAAGGAAUUGUAAUUCCUACCGUAGUGCUUAAAAUUUACUCUCUUUUUUGGUUAAAAAAAAAGAAAAAUAUCGUAUGAUAAAACUAGUCGAAAAAAAUUGGCCUCAGGAUGAAGAUAUUUAAGAUCGUAACAUUUCUCCGAAAACAGCAUUCUCCGCUAACUUUAGUUUUUGAAAGGAAAAAAAAAAAAAAAAGAAUGCUUUUUUUCUAUCUAAUAUACCAUGACAUGCACCGUAACAAAAAAAAUCUCCUUAGCUUAAAUUGUUUGAGGAAAUUAAUUGCAAGCAGGUAAUUAAGUUCAGCAUAUUUUCUUCUGCUUUCUACCUCAACCUUAGCUUCACCACAUUUUAUAUAUAAAAAAAAGAAAACACCUAACAAUAUUUCUGAAAUAUCACAAAUCUACAAAGCAAGCGGAGACGAGCAGAGAAUCGAAUCGACGCGACGGAAAGAGAAAGAUACGGAGCGCGAGCGCAGGCACGCACGUACCAGCUUGUUGGAGUUGCUCUGGGCUUGCCACUUUGAUCUCCACUCGUCCAAGGAGUGGAUCUCGAUUACGCCGUUCUCCGCAGCGGCAGCGGUGCCGGGGCGGGAGGCGGAGGCGGAGGCGGAGGCGUGCUGCAUUCUUCUGCUCACUCUAUUACAGAAGAAUUCUUUCGGGUUUGUCAAACACUGCAUUAAGAAAGAGUGUUUGGUUGGGUAUACCAUAUUUGUAGAAUGCAUGCAUAUAUUUAUAUAGCAUUUGAAGUAGCUAAGAGGUGGAAGCGCAAUGCCUUUUUGUUUCUUUUUUUUUUUUUCUUUACACAUGUCCCGAGUAACGGUGACGGGACGUGGAAAGUUUGUAGUGUCGCGUUGUCUGUAAAUGUGAUUUUUUUUAAGAGAUAAAUAGUAUGCUAUCUGCUUCGUUUAUUUUCAUUACAACAAAAAUGAUCUACAGCGACACUUUUAAAUAUAGGUACAUGUCAAAAUAGUGCUGCUAGCUAAAAUUAUCGACAUUUUUAAAAAGUGUUGCUAUAUGUGGGGUCGCUAGGUAUAUAGUGACAGUUAAAGAGUGUCGUUAUAAUCUAAAUAAGUGCUGCUAAUUUACCAACACUUAUUUAAGUAUUUAGCAACCGCCGAAAUUCUAUCUCGUUGGCUGCGGUGGCGGGGGAGGACGACAGGAAAGGCUCUUCGUCUAGAAUUUCAGUGGAUUGAGUGAAGAGAGAAAAAAAGAUGGUAAUUUAUUUUUCUUUUUUUUUUUUCUUUUCUGUUUGUAAUCGAGCCAAAUUGACUGGGUGUGGUGGGUUGAAUAGAGUAAUCUUUUAUUUUUGGUUGGAUUGGGCUUUAUAUUUAGACAUUAGUAGAUAUUUUUUUAAGUUUUAGCAUAAAUGGGACACUUACUCAAAAGUGUUCUAAACAUGUGUCCUUAUAACCUAAUUCUGUUGUAGUGUUUAUUUAAAAAUAAAUUUAGCUAAAAAUAUAAAUCAAUUACAAUUCAAAUUUAAAAUCUCACGUAUCAAUCACCAAGCCGGCCCUUUAUUAAUUGUUUUUUUUUAAAAAAGACAAUUAAAACGUAUAAUUAAUCUACAUAAUAGUAUACAUAUUUUUUUGCAUAUAUAACAUGCCUCUUGAACCGGCACUACAACAGAAUUAGGUUAUAGAGACACAUGUUUGGGACACUUUUGAGUAAGUGUCCCAUUUAUCCUAAAACUUAAAAAAAUAUUUACUAAUGCCUAAAUAUAAAGCCCAAUCCAACCAAAAAUAAAAGAUUAUUCUACUCAACUCACCACAUCCAGUCCAUUUGGCCCGAUUACAAACAGAAAAGAAAAAAAUAAAAUCAAUUACCAUCUUUUCUUCUCUCUUCACUCAAUCCACUGAAAUUCUAGACGAAGAGCUUUUCCUGUUGUCCUCCUCCGCCACCGCAGCCAACGAAAUAGAGUUUCGGCGGUUGCUAAAUGCUUAAAUAAGUGUUGGUAAAUUACCAGCACUCUUUUAUGUUAUAGCGACACUCUUUAACUGUCACUAUAUACCUAGCGACCCCACAUAUAGCAACACUUUUUAAAAGUGUCGGUAAUUUUAGCUAGCAGCACUUUUUUGACAUGUACCUACAUUUAAAAGUGUCACUAUAGACCGUUUUUGUUGUAGUGCGGUGAGACGAGAGCUAGGUUUGUUAAGGUUAGGGUUGAAGAUGGUCGACUGAAUUGUUGUAAAUAGUUAAUUCAGUCCAUACAUACAUACAACAUGAAUUAUGCAAUUUACGCCACAUGCGACCACUUUAGCGUUAGAGUUUAUAGAAAAACAUGACGUACUUAACUAAAUUGGACAAAAAAUUUCGUUAUGUUCAGCAAUUUUUAUAAUUGGCGUGAAAGGUUUCUAAACUGUCAUAACUUUCAAUUGAGUGUACCAUAUUCAACAUGUAACCCUAAUUCGAAAAAUAAUUUUUGAGAUCUAUGCGUCGAACUGUAAAACUGUUGUGGCCGAGUUUGGGGCCCGAAUUCAACUAUUUAGGCCUUUGCUUUUAUAUUUAAAGAUUAAUUUCAAAAACUUCUAUAUUUUUCUUAUUUUGAGUCUGAUUAUUUGGUUAUUUCUAAUAGAUUUAUGUUUAGAAAUAUAUAUAUUAGAUUUUUUUUUUUUUUUUUUUUUUUGAGAAAUAGGUAGCAAGCUACCUGCUUCAUUCAUUAAGGAAAAUGAACUAGGCGUACAGGAUAUAUUAGAAUUUAUUAUCUUCAUUUAUAAUAGGAUUCAGUUAUCGAUCCUAUAUAUAUACAUGUGGCAUUCAGUUAAUGUAAUUAGCUUUUAGAGUUCAUCUUUUGUCGAAGAAUUGUAUUCUUGGCAUAUCUCUUAAUUUCUCUGUCCUUAUGUUUCUUCUCUGUCAACGUGGUUUAGUUCUACGUCAAAAUAUGCAUAAUGGUUAGUUACCUGUUAAAUACAAAUAUUAAAACACUAUUUUCUAUAGUUUAAGCUUUUGAAAAAAAAAAAUAUUUUAUAUAAUUUAAGAUGUUAUCAUAGCAAAGUUCGAGUCCCAUCAAACUUCUAAUAUUAUUUAGUUUCUACGCCUUAAAUUUUUGGAGAAAAAUGGGUUUAUAGUUCGUGCCCUAUUUGGUUGAUUUUCGGGACACGUUUGACUCUCUUUCUAUUCUAACCUCCCUCAGUUAAUUCAUGAUCUGAAACUGAUCCUGCAGUCAGAAUAAUUUUUAAUAAACCUUGUCCGUUCGGCGGGUCUAGCUAGUCCGGCUCUUUGAACAUUGUGUAUUAAACCAAAAGCUGAGGACACGCUCACAGGUGUAUUUGAAAGAACUUAAACAACCAUUUUUCUUUUGUUAGUUACGCUGCUCGAAAACGACGUUGGUCGUACAUUCGAUCACAUCUAUUUACAUUCUCCAACAAAUUACUAAGCAAAUUAUACUGAAUCAUGCAUGAAUUUGGAAAAAGGCAAAAACAAAGAAAAACUUGAUUGCUCUUCUUCUUUUAUAAAGGAAACUUCCACAACAUGACAUCCACUUUUCUCUUUAGUAUUGUGAAAGAAACGAAUAUCAUUAAGCAGUAAAGUCCCUGUCCAAUGACGCAAAAGAGAAUAUAUUCGUUCUUCUUUUUUUCCUUUUCAAAAGUGAGAACAAGAUUAUACUUGAGACGCCCAGGGAGGAAUAGAAUAGGUAAGAUGAGAGCAUUGUAUUGCAGAACCAAAAGGUUGUGGCAUUGUAGAUUUGACGAAGAAAGAUUCGUUUCGAUCUGAUAGAGUUUUCGAGCUUUUGCUGAUCAGUAAAUUAAAUCGAGCAUAAACUUGCCAAUUGGCCACAAAUGUCGCAUGGCGGUGCCGGCGGUGCCGAUUCACAAUCAAUCCUGCGACUUUCGAAUCUCUGUGGAAACUGAUUGUCACUGUUAGAAUUUGAGAGGUACAAUGCUCGGUCGGAAAAAUUCUCGAACUUUAAUUCGAGAGAUUGCCGUUUAGCACUUGAAAUUUCAUUUGACCAACAAAAUAUUUGAGGCGGCGAUAAGCCUGAAUUACGUUUCGGGACUAAAUUGUUUGAGCGAAAGAUCGUAAACCAAACUGCGGUACAUCACAUGUCCAAGGCUUCAUGCACAUUUUACUCGCAUUUAGAGGGUGUUUGGCCUAGAUUUUAGAAAGUGACGUUAGGGUGAAAGUAUUUUUUUUUUUUUUUUCAAUAGAGUGCUUAGUAAUUAAUCUUUUCUCCAAAAUCUAAUUUUGAUUUUUAAAAUUAGUUUACUGAUUUUAAGAACCCAAAAUCAUAAGGAACUAAAACCUUUUUUUUUUUGAAAUUAGAUUAUAAUUUUCCACUCAAAUUUUAAAUUAAAAUUUAAAUUUGGAUUCAAAUUUUUAAAUUUAAAUUUAGAUUUUAACUUCUAAACUUUAAAUUUUAAAUUUUAAUUUAUAAAUUUAUAAUUUUAAGUUUUAAGUUUUAGACAUCAAAUUUUAACUCUUACAUUUUAAAACUUAAACAUUAAUUUUUAAAUUUCAAAUUUUAGAACACAAAUUUCAAAUUAUUUAGAGUUCAGGUUAAAAAAAACAUUUCUUGUGCUGCUUGUUUGUAUAGUCGUAGAAUUAAAAUUUCUCCAGUUUUGUUGUGUGUAUAAAUGGUUUAAGAAUUAAAAAUAUGGGAGAUGAAUUAAUAUUUUUAUUUUCCAAAAUUGGCUUUAGCCUGAGCGGGCCGAAGUCAAUUAAGCUAGUUUGGAAAGUUUGUAUUUCGGCCGAAGAUGAAGUUCAUUGAUAGUUUGUAUAUCUUAAGAAAAGAAAAUUUUCACAAUACAUAAUUUAUUUAUAUUGUCAAAAAAAAAUUAUAUAUAUUUAUCAAAAAAUUAAAAUAUUUAUUUUCGUAUAUUAUAUAUAUGUAUAGAAAAAGUAAAAUAAAACGUGUAGAACUCCUAUACUAUCGGAAGAAUAGAGAAUCUGAUGCUUCUAACUUUUUGACUAUUGAAUUAAAAAUUAUACGGUUGAAAUGAUUGCGGUUCCUCCAGGAUUGAGUAGUACCCAUAGGGUUGAGUGGUCCCCACAGGUUAAUAGUAUUAAUCCAAAGAUUAAAAAUGAUUAAAGGGGUUGAUCUAAGGGUCAAAAAAUCGAAAGCAUCAGAUUUUCUAUGCUUUCGAUAGCAUAGUAGCUCUACUCAAAUAAUAUAUAUAUAUAUAUAUAUAUAGAGUGAGGCUACUAUGCUAUUGGAAGCACGGAGCCUUCCGUGCUUCCAGCUCGUUUUCGAUGUUGCGACUUUCGAAUUGUCGAUCGGCUCCGUUAAACUUGAUCUAGAGUAGUUGGAGUACCUAGAAAAUAAAUUUUAUUAUUUUUCGAUACCAUUUGCCUAGUGAACGAAGGGACUCAAAAUCAACGGCUGAAAAUAAAAAUAUUACAAAAUGUAAUAAUAUGACAUUAAAAUUUUAAAUCAAAGAUAUUGAUCUUGUUUUAUAUAGUAUAAAGAAUUUUCUAUCAAAAUUUCACGUGAUUUGGAUAUUUCUACACCGUUAAACUUGCAAAGACCCUCACUUGCGGCCAUCUGAAAUUUGGUUUGAUUUUGAGCCCGAUUCGAUCGACUAGGCAACUGAUAUCGAAAGCAAUAAUAAAAUUUAUUUUCUAGCGUACUCCAAAUACUCUAGCAUCAAGGUCAUUAACGGAGGCCCGAUCGAGUCGUUUCGAAAGUCGCAACAUCGAAAACGAGCGUGGAAGCACGCGAAGGGCUCCGCUGCUGCCGGACUAGCGCUCAUCGAGCUUAGCCUCACUCUCUCUCUCUCUCUCUCCUCUCUCUCUUCUCUCGCUCUAUAGUAUAUAUAUACGUAUAUAGUAUAUAUAUGAUAUUAAACGAUGAGCUCCUUAUGCUUUUAAGUACCAAGUCAUUGGCACUUUCGGUAACGUUUUUACCUUGGAUAUAAGAAAUGUGCGUUUAGGAUGAUGCGGGCCCCCUAGGGUGAGGCGGUGGUUGGGUUGAAUAGAUAUAACUCAAGGGUAAAAAUGAUCAAAAGCAGAGAUUCUAACGCGGUUAAAAAAAUUACGAAGCAACCAAAGUGCUUCGCUGCUUUUACAGCCACCAUAGCCGGACCUAUUGUAUUGUAUAUUAUAUAUUAUAUAUAUAGCUAUAUGAUAUAUAUGAUACUAUUAAUAUAUAUAAAUUACAGACGCACCAAGUGCUCUCGCUGGUUUUACGAAGCACAUAGCCGGACUCUAUAUAUAUAUAUUAUAUCUAUAGUAUAUAUAUAUAUAUAGAUAUAUACAUACAUAUAUAUCAUAUAUAUAGUAGAGCUGGAUGCUUUGAAGCAUUAGAAGCCCUGCCGUGCUUCCACUUUGUUUUCAAUGUGACUUUCUCGAUCAUCGGACGAUCAGCGUCCUUAAGAGUUGUGAUCUAGAGUAUUUGAAGUACCUAGAAAAUAAAUUUUGUGAUUUUUCGAUAUCAUUUGCCUAGUGAUCGAAAGGGCUCAAAAUCAAUAAUUUUAAUGGCCGUGGUGAGCCGGUCGCAACUUUAACGGUGUAAAAAUAUCCAAAUUGCAUGAAAUUUUGAUGGAAAAUUCUUUAUACCAUAUAAAACAAGAUCAAUAAUUUUGAUCUAAAAUUUUAAUGUCAUAUCAUCAUAUUUUGUAAGAUUUUUAUUUUCAGCCGUUGAUUUUGAGCCACUUCGAUCACUAGGCAAAUGAUAUCGAAAUAUUACAAAAUAUAUUUUCUAGAUACUUUAAAUACUCUAUAUCAAGUCUAACGGAGUCGAUCGUCGAUUUGAAAGUCCGAACAUCGAAAACAAAGUGGAAGCACGGAGCGCUCCGUGCUUCCAUAAGCAUGCCAGACGCACUAUAUAUAUAUAUAUAUAUACUUAGUUGUAUGCGCUAUGAAUCGGUAUUAAGCGGGCAUCCGAAAAGUGUCCACAUCGGACACGUGGUCUCCAAUAUAGACACGCGAGAUUUACAUAAAUAUUUGUGAUACAUAGAUCAUAACAAAGGAAGCCCUAACAUACAUAGUACGGAACAGGAUUGAAAUGUGUACUGGGCCACGAAUAUGAUUCUAUCUGAUAAUGUCUUCAACGAACCAUCAAUCUUCCUUGUCAAUGUUCUGGAACAUCUGCUUUACACUAGUGUCGACAACCUUCAAAGAAUGGCUCUGGAGAGUUGCAUCUUCUCACCAGAAUAUAUAUAUAUUUUAUGCCUUGUGCACUGAUUAAAAAGAUAAUAAAAAAGUUUGGUCGGCAGCCUUCAAAGAAGGGCUCCGGGGAGUUGCAUCUUCACAUAAGAAAAUUUUAUAUCACAUGCAUUGAUUGAAAACAAGUUUUGUAAAAAAAGAUUGCAAGUUAUUUGCUUCCAACUUGGAACCUCCGAAUCCAAUUAUUAGAAAUGUCAAUGGGUAUGGAUAUUCGAAAUUUUAUCCGAAUCCGAAUCCGAAUCCGAAUGAAAGGGAUAUAUCCGAUGCUAAAUGGAUAUGGAUUCGGAUAUGGAUUUUGACUGUACCCGAUNAUAUAUAUAUAUAUAUAUAUAUAUAUAUAUAUAUAUAUAUAUAUUUGAUGUUAUAUUUGAAUUUGUAUUUUAAAAAUUUAAAUGUAAUAUAAUAUUAUUUGAAAUAUUAAAAAAUGAAAUAAUUGUUUGGGGUUCAAAUUUUUGGGUUCGGGUUUGGGUUCGGGUUUCGAAUUUUGGUCGGGUUCUGGUUUGGAUAUGGAUUUUUAAAAUCCGCCGGUUCGGAGUCGGGUUUGGGUUCAGGUUCGGGUUUUUGAAAAUCCGCCCCAAAUCCGACCCGUUGACAUCUCUACCAAUUAUUAAGUUCUUGUAACACCCUAAUAAUUCUACAUCGGAUGGAAAAAUAUUUCUGAUGGAUUAUAUGCGGCCUGGCACGCGCUAGUAAUAAUAAUUGAGCUUAAAUAUUUUGGAUCGGUAGUUUAGACCUAAUGAGUUAUUAUUGCCAAAUGGUCGGAUCGUUUACAAUCGGCAUCUGAGCCGAAUACCAAUCGGAAGUGUGAGAGCUAAGUGCUAUAUCAAUGGAUUUGUCACGAUUUGAUCGGAUGGGAAAAUGUUUCUUAUUGAAUUAUUAUGGGACAUUAUGCUAGUAACAAUAAUUGAACUUAAACAUUUUUUGCCGGUGGUCUGGGCCCAACAAUAAAUAAUAACUGGGCUUGGGCUGAUGGUUUCGGCCCGACGAAUUAUUAUUAUUAACGAAUUGAAUCAUCAUAGUUCUUUAACUAACUGCACUAGACACAAUCGAUCAUUGUAAAGCAAAUAUUAAGAUUUAAAUUCAGAAUAUUUUGACAAAGUCCGUAGGACUGGAUUUGAAACCCAGUUAUCCAAAUGAUAAGUGAUUGAUUUUUGGAAAACGUACAACUCAAAAUUAGUCUUAAUGCUUGCGAAAUAAUUGAAUAGUUAUCUAAGUGCACCUUACUAAUAUGCUUAUGAAACUGCAAUGCAUCGGUGUAAAAAUAUGCUGGAACUGUAGGGUGUCGAUCUCAAAUUAUGCCCUAAGGCAAGAUUCUUUUCGAGUUUUUUCAAGUUUAUCGUUAUAGAGAAAAAACCUUUGAAUUAUCGUGCCAAGCGAAUUAGUAAAAUACCGCUGGCCUUUUGUGAAGACUAAGGGCAAGAAGGGAUUCGAACCUCCGACAUCUUCAUAGUCACGUGCUUUAAUCCUCUGAGCCCACUCUGUCUCCACUGAAUCUGUUCUCGAGAGUAGGGGUGGAAAUGAGCCGAGCUCGAGCGAGCUUAUCUCAGCUCAAAUUCGGCUUGAAAUUAAUUUCGAACCUAAAUUUAAGCUCAAGCUUGGAUUGAAAUUAAUUCGAGCCGAGCUCGAGCAAGCCUAAUUUCAAGUCGAGCGAGCUCGAACCCUAAACGAGCCACUUGAAAUUCUCAACAUUAUACGAUCAAUAGUUUAAUUUGUAUAGAACAUUAUCUAUAAUAAUUUGAUACAAAAAUAUGUCUAAUAGUUCAAAAUACAAAAUAAUUAUAUGAAAUAUAGUAUUAUAAUAUGAAAAAAUUAAUUUAUGAGUUGAAUAUCUAAUUUUUUCAGCCUCACAUGUCUUUUUUUCCACCUUCAAUCUCUAUAUUAUUUAUUUUUAUUUAUGCAGUUCAAAAUAAAUAAAUUAUAUAGAUAAAUAUUAGAUUAAACUAUCCAAUCAUAUAUAACUAAAAUUAAAAUUUUAUAUGAAUAAUAAUUUUUUACUUUAAAAAUAUUCUGUAUAUUUUACCUCAGCUACAAUUAAUGCAAGAUAAAAGGCAUACGGGCGAGGCAUAUGAUGUUACUGGGUAUUAGAGGGCUUCCGGCUUGAUUAGGAGGUGAGAGACAGAAGAAAGAGAAGAUAGACUAUUGAAAAUUAGAGCUCUGUGAAAGAAAGAAAGAAAAAAGAACAGAAAUUAUAUAAAUUUAAUAAAAUGUUUGCUCUUUUUAAUUUGUCUAUUGGGAUUUGUUUUUCAUGGCAACAGUAUCGCAACAACAUUAUCCGGCUAUUUUAACAUAACUAAGAUUAUUCACUCAGCUUAUAAUAUAAUAAAAAUAUUAUUAUUGAUUAUAUUUUUUAUUUAUAAUAUAGUGUAGAACUUGUAUGACUAUCGGAAAAUAUAGGGGAUUUGAUGUUUUUUGAAUUUUGACCCUUUGAUUAAAGUUGUGAUGGUUGGGAUGAUUCGGUUCUCUGGAAUUAAUAUAAUACGUCUUUAGGAUUGAGUGUCGCCUCUAAGGUUGAAUAAUAUAUAUAAUUCCAAGAUAAGAACGAAUUAACGCGGAUUGGCCCCUAAUAUCAAAAAAAUCGAAAAAUAUAUUCUAUACUAUUCGUCCGAUAGCAUGUAAGCUACUAUAUUAUAUUUAUAGAUAUAUAUACUAUAUAUCUAUAUAUAUAUAUUAUAUAUUAUAUAUAUUAUAUCGAGCUUUUCGAGUGUCUCGCGAGACCUAAUUCGAACGAGCGGUAAGAUAUCAAGUCGGUGCUUGAAAUUGAUUUGAGGCUUUUUUCUAGUGUUCAGCUGGCUAUUUAAUUUCGAGUCGAAGUCGAGUGAGCCAAUAUCUUGAGUCGAACACGAGCCGCUGAUUGCCUCGAACUGCGAGCGGCAUGCUAUUUGCCAGGACCUCAAUUGAGAGUUACGUGAAAAAAAGGGGCUUUAUUCCUAGGCAUUUUGGAUUAUAUAUUGCUUGUAUACCCAAGUGGAAUGAUUGCGGUUAUUAUUUUUAAAAAAAAUAACAAAAAAUCUUAAGUUGAAUUAUAGAGAGUAAAAAUUAACUUAUACUUUAGCAUUGGUAAAAGAUUAUUUUUA